rnacentral:lncRNA from 1 species
UUUUUUUUUUUUUUUUUUUUUUUUAUCGAUACGAUAGCUUUUACAUUACGGGGAGCGGGAGGGCCUGAAGAGAUCUUGGAGUAAUCCGAAGGGGACUGAAUUACCACCGGACUAGACGGGCGUACUACGCACCCGUCUGAAUUUUUUAAAUAAAGUCACAUUUAAUUGUGACAAAUUUGUCUUCCACCCCACCAAGUCUUAAUGCAUUGAUGAUGACCACCAGCCUAGACGGAGGAGGACCAAAUAAACUCAAAGUGCUUAGCCACAGGUGUAUUUGGUUGAAUGGCAUUGUGUGAACCAUAUCGAAUCUUCCACUGCUACCUCACAAAAUGCAAAGCCCUCGUCCUUGGGUCUGCUUCCUCCAUUGUUUUUGACAUAUUCUCUUCCCGAAUUGUCCACAUAUCCAAAUUCCUUUCUUUUCUUUUUUUUUCUUUCCUUUUUCCUUUUAGCAUGAAUGAUGGAUAGCAAUAUCGGUGACCCGUACGUGGAGGAUGGACAUCUCUCAAAUUGCGUCCCUGAGAGGGAAACUAACAAUGGCUGCAAAAGCCAAGUUUGGUUUGUGAUAUAUAUAUAUAUAUAUAUCAGUACAACAGCAGAAGUUGAAAGCCACAAAAAGUGCAAAGAGAUAAUCGGAAAGUUAAAAAUCAAAGUUUAAUGGUUGCUUGUAAUUGGCAGAUGUUGAGACGCCACCAUCGUUCCUGUCCUCCUACUUUAGCAAUCAGAUAUUCUUAUUGGCUGUGAUUAUUUUUUCGGGUGUAAUUCUUGAUCAUUCCAACUGUCAAUUGUUAGAAGCAAAAUUUUUUUUGAGAGUGUCAAGUGAAACUAACAGAACCCUCUCCAAAAAAAAAAUAAUUUGUAUGCGACAUGGUAUGAUAUGCAUCUUUUCUAGUUUUCUGCUACAAUAAUUGGGAGUCUUUUUGAAUCAACAACCAGUCUUCUAUCUUUGUGGAGGAAAUAAUUUUGUCGGUGUCUUCUGGCUUUGUGGUUGGAGAACUUAAAUAGUAGUAGUACUACUACUAAGUGUAAGCAGCUGGUUUGACAAAGAGAAGCCAAGGAUCAUUUGUUUAAAAACACACAAUUGCAGGCAAGACCAGACACAGCACAUGAGAUUAGGUAUUUAGGUCGGGGUUGGCAUGACGAAAUGGUUAUGUUUGCAUGAUAUCAGCACCAAGAACUCCCAUCUGGAUAACGAGUACCAGUAGUCGCAAUUACAUUUACCUAUAGCCUGUAGCCUGUAGCCUGUAGCCUGUAGCCUGUAGCCAUCACCAUCACUGAUACUACACAUACCUUUGAGUCUGCGCACGUACGCCGGCAUGCGUUAAAUUCACCGCCAAUAAUCAUUAAUAUUAUUAUUGUUUCCAUAUUACAAAUAAGGAAAAAAAUUAUUGGUUAAUUAAUAACAUUUACCAAAAUAUUUCAAGUCACGUGGUCUUUUAAUUCCUAGUAUUUUUCUACAUAUAAUAACUGUAUUUUGUUACGAGAAAUGUUAUUUACAUUUCAAAUUUUGUUACUCAUAUAUACUCUUCCUAUCCUUUUAUCAUAUAAUUUUUAUUUAUUAAAUUAUAUGAUAAAAUAAACAACGAGAGUGCAAAUAAUUAAAGUAUAUGAUUUAACAAAUAGUGGGAAUAUAAAUAACGUUUAUUUUCCCUUUUGUUACAAAUAAAUGCGGUGUCUUGAUCCUACUUCGUAAUCACAUACCUAAUACAUACAUACAUAUAUAUAUAUACAUAGUAGUAUUAUAGUUUUUUGUAGAGUAAAUCUCUAGCAUUAAUGCAGACCAUCUGUAUGUAUAUAUAUAUAUAUACACUAGCUUGUUAUCCAACUCAUCUUGCAACCACUAUAGAGCAAGCUUCAUUCUGCGUUUUUCAUCUAUUGUAGCUAUAACUGAAAACUAGAGAAGAAUUGUUGAUCAGCAGAAGCCAAUUUAAGCCAUUUUCAAUGGAUCAAACACCCCGUGUAGCCCUCUUACCAUCUCCCGGGAUGGGUCAUCUCAUCCCGCUGGUGGAGUUUGCUAAGCGCCUUAUUCUCCAACACAACUUCUCAGUCACCAUAAUUCUCCCGACGGAUGGACCUCUCUCUAAGGCACAAACCACCUUUCUUGCUGCUCUUCCUGCUGCCAUCGAUUAUAUUCUUCUUCCUCCUGUUAACUUCGACGACUUAGCUGACGACGUUAGGAUUGAGACGCGUAUUUCCCUCACCGUCACUCGCUCUCUUCCUUCCCUUCGUGUUGCGCUCAAGUCUUUGGUUGACACCACCAAGUUGCCCGCUCUCGUGGUCGAUCUUUUCGGCACGGAUGCCUUUGAUGUAGCCAAUGAAUUCAAGCUCCCGCCAUAUAUCUUCUUCCCUUCCACCGCCACGGCUUUAGCGUUUUUCUCCUACCUGCCUAAGCUUCAUGAGAUGGUUGCAUGUGAAUUUAGAGACUUGCCCGGGCCAAUUCGAGUCCCGGGUUGUGUACCAAUUCACGGGAGGGAUCUCCUCGACCCGGCUCAGGACCGAAAGAACGACGCCUACAAGUGGCUGCUUCACCACGCGAGGAGGUACAGCCUGGCCGAGGGAAUCCUGGUGAACAGCUUCAAGGACUUGGAGCCUGGACCUUUAAAAGCGUUGCAGGAGCAAGAACCGGGUAAGCCACCGGUUUAUCCGGUUGGACCACUUAUACAGAUGGGCUCAGGGGACAGGAGGGGGGAGGAGUCGGAAUGCUUGAAAUGGUUGGAUGAUCAGCCCAGCGGGUCCGUUCUGUACAUUUCGUUUGGGAGCGGCGGGACCCUCUCCCAUAAUCAGCUAAUCGAGCUAGCAUUUGGAUUGGAGAUGAGCGAGCAAAGAUUCUUGUGGGUGGUCCGGAGUCCAAAUGAUGGAGUUGCCAAUGCCACUUACUUCACCGUCCACAGUCAAAAUGAUCCUCUGGCUUUUAUGCCGGAAGGGUUCUUGGAUAGGAUCAAGGGUCGAGGUUUUUUGCUGCCAUCUUGGGCUCCACAGGCUAAAAUUCUCGGCCACAGUUCCACCGGUGGGUUUCUGACCCACUGCGGUUGGAACUCGACUCUUGAAAGCGUGGUUGAGGGGAUUCCGCUUAUUGCUUGGCCGCUCUACGCGGAGCAGAAGAUGAACGCCGUAAUGCUUGCGGAGGAUCUAAAAGUUGCUUUGAGGCCAAAGGCUGACGAAAAUGGAUUCGUGGGAAGAGUUGAGAUUGCAAACAUGGUAAAGAGGUUAAUGGAAGGAGAAGAAGGGAAGAGGCUCCGUAGCCGAAUGAAGGAGCUCAAGGAUGCAGCUGCUAAGGUUUUGAGCCAAGACGGUUCUUCCGCAGAAGCUCUAGCCCAAGUUGCCGGCAAGUGGCAGGCCAAAAUUUGUACGUAAAUUAGAUUAUAGCCUCGUCUUAGUUUUGCCCUUUCUGUUCUUGGUGUAUUUUUUUUUAUUUAAAAGCACCUUGUUCUGCGUUGGUUUCAAGCGCAUAAAUGUAGGAGGUGUAUUGUCUUUGGUUAAAUAAGUUAAAAAGGGUAAUUUGGUUUUGUAAAGAGGUCAGUUUCUAUGAGCCCCCAUUCUAUUAUUUUGGUGUUCGACUUGGAUGAGUAUUAAGUGGAGAAUGAGGAGCCGGCGAAGGCUUGGGCACGUCCAUUGCAUGACAAAAAUUCGAGAUGUGCUUGCUUGAGUACCUGUAAAAAUUCAUGCGGCUGCUCAUUUAGGAAUGGAGUGUUAUAAACCACUUGUGCUGUCCCAAAUACAUGGCUACUACUAGGUUGGUGGGAUCCGGGAUACGUGCAUCCAUGUAAAAUACAGGCAGGCAUACGAUUGCCACUUGUUAAGUUUUUAUCCCCUGCCCUCUUCUUAGUCCUUACCAAGGAGCGGGGAUGGGCCAAUAAGAAGGACAGGUUAAAAUUUGUGGUGGGCGCGGGCGUUAAGUGGAGUUGGUGGCUGCCUGCCAUCGUCACAAGGAUGCCCCAGUCUAUCCCGUAACAUGUAUACUUUCUUCUUCUUUUUUUGUGUGUGUAAAAUAGUGUACAGUGACUACAUUAGAUGCUGAUUACUCCGGCAUUGAACGGUGUCAGGUGUCGGAUUUCUUCUAGCGGUAGCGGGGAGGAGGUGGGGUGCAGGGAGAGGAGGUGGCGAGGGAAGGGGGGAGGGAGAGAGGAGGAAAGAAAAGAAAGAGAGGAGGGGGGUGUCGUUGCCAUCGUUGGAGAAGAUGCCGGCCGACAAGCCGAACAAGUGAAGAAGGAAGGAGAAAGGCAAAAAAGGAAAAAACUUUAUGGUGUAUUGGAAUAUUUUAGAGUGUGUGUCUUAAAAAUUUGGAAUAUUUUUAAAAGGUUUUUAUAGACAAAGUUGUAAAAGAAUUUGUCUAUAAAAUGCCCCUGAAAAAAACCAAUCCCAAGGGAACCCAUUGUUUUCUCUAUCUACAAUAUUCGAACCUGAAACCUUUCUUUUAGGAACAUCGAACUCCUUGUUAUUUAACCUAAUAACAGUUGGUAUUCACUAUAAUCACCUAAUAACCGUUGGUAUUCACUAUCUAACCCAAAACUUUCUAAAAUCACGGGUCUCGCAAGUUCCAAUUAUAAUUGGUCGAGGACAAAAUGAUUCCUUUUUACAUUUUCAUAUCACUCUCUUACUCUUUUUUUCAACUCCAGUAAAUAACUUUUCGUUGAAUUAAUAUCACUCUCUUACUUAUUUACAUUCUAUCUCGAUUCAUUUACAUCAUGCGUUCACUUAUUUACACCGUUAGAAACAAACUAGUUUGAACUAAACUUGUGAGGCCUUUUAUUCAAAUCAACACAAGUUGAUAAGGAUGGAUCACUUUCUCAUAAAAGAUCAUGUGUUUGAAUUUCAUAUUGUCACCGUAAAAGAUGUGUUAAUAAGCGAUCUAUACGAACUUCUGCGAGUAUGCUCUGAUAUGUGAUGAUGAUUAAAAUCGAACCCACCAAAAUAUUUUUAUUACACCAAAAAAAAAAAAGGCCCCUUAUCCAAUCUUCUAUUGCUCUCGGGUGGAUCAUUGGGAGGUGCAACUGCUAUUUUACCAAAUUGCUCUGCACUUCUGAAUAUUCUAGUCCCUAUUGAGUGACAGCUAUAGUGAUGCUAAAGCUGUUUAAAAAAUUAUUAGACAAUCCACGAAAGAUAUGAGAAUCCGUUCUUGUCUUGCACACUUUUAAUAAUGGUCAUGCAAAAUGUGUGUAAUCGUGAUUGUGUCUGUUCACAUUCUGACUUUGUCUAUGGAUUUCGUGUAUGCAAAAGCCAAAAGGACUUGUUCUGGUACGCUCUUCGAUUUGGGCAUUUGAACUGUUGGUGACUAUGAAAGACUUGAACCUUGACUUCCAAUCACUUGUGACUAUAAAUAAUUUCUUCUAAAUUCAUACGAUACGAUUGUAUAGUACAUCCGUUUGAUUCGAUAGUGAUUCAUGUGUCGCCGAUUCUUCUAUAAAUUAAGUUGGGUCAUCUCUCUAGAAUAAGUUAAAGUAGAAGAAGGAAUAGAAAUAGAUGUCGAGUAGAUAAGUGACGAUUGACCAAAAAAAUGCACGCUUUUCGAUCAUUAUAUAUAUUUUAUUGUAUACCAUAAAUUUAUUUUGUGAGCACUAAUUCAAUAUGUGCAAAACAUACAAUUAAGUUAAAAAAAAAAAAACACACACACACACACAAAAAGGUAUCUAAUUCUACUAACACAAUCAUAUUUUACCCCGAGCUAUAAAAAAUAUCAUACUGCAUGGUGAACUGGUGAUGGCUGAAAAAAAAAAAAAAAGAAAUGGCGAUGGCUGACAGACAAAAUUUUCUUGUGGUUCAUGACAAGGAUCACUCAAGCGAUAUCGCUGAAACAUGCCUGCUUUUUUUUUUUUUCUUUUAGCAGUAGUAGAUAUCAGGCAGCUUCGAAAUAUUUGUUACCCCUCGAAUGUAAAAGCAAAUCAAUUAUAGUGCAGCUUCUACAUAUCUUUAGAAUAAGAAUAACUAUUUAAAUAUUUAAUAACUAAGAUUUAUGAUUUAACAAAAGAAAUUCUAAAGUAAAAUAAAAUUACUUUCAAAAGGUAGAAUUUGCAAAAGAAUUAAUGCUUGAAAUAAGUUUAAUGGAAUUAGUGAAGAUUGAUGCUUGAUCAAAUAGAGACAAAUGUUGAAAAAUUUGGUGUUUAUCUUGACUAAUAACUCCUAUUGUUCUUUUUUAGUUCUAGUCAAUUUAGCAUUAAUAAUUUGUAUAUGUAGUUAAAUCUUCUUUUACUUGUGUUUAAUUUCUUCUCUUUGUCUUUUCUUUUUUUUUUCAUUUCGAUAUAGUGUUUCUUUAGUUGCUAGUUUAAAGUUAUAAUAAUCAUAUCCAAUAAAAGGAAUGAUUUGGAUAGCAGGUGGCUAAUGAGAGACUCAUUAGGAGGGAUCUCAGAUGUGAAAUUUUUUCUUUAAAUGUAGUUAAUUUGUAAUUGUUUAAAUACAAGGGAUAAAAUAAUUGUAAUUGUGUAUAUUCAUAUGAUAAGUUAAGUAUAAUUUAAGUUGCUAACUAGUACUCGGGAGGGAGUGAUAGGUUGGAGAAUGAGUGUAAGUGAGAGAUUCCAAAUUAGAAUCUUUCCAUUUACACUAAAAAAAUAAAAAAAAAAUUGCUAACUAGCACUUACUGAGUGCAUUUGUUAGAAAAAUCCAUAAAGGACUUGCUAAUUAAGAGUUAUAUUAACUGCUAAUACCAUGUAAACAUUAAAGUGAAACACAAAUACUAAUUGUAUACAAAAAUUAGUUUUGUAAUAAAUUUGUAUCUUAUAUUAGUAUAAGAAAACUUAAGAUUUGGUUUUAAACAGAGGCAUUUAAGUAUAUUCUCUAAUUGAUAUCUAAAUGGGAAACACGUUGGGGGGGCAAAGUGAUCAAAUUGGAUUUAAAAAUUAGGACUUCAUAGACAAGUUAAAAAUUUUUUUUAAGGGCCUACAUAGAUUUUUUGAAAAACUUUGGGGGGCGGCUGCCCCUAACUCCCCUCCCAAUAACGUCUGUCUGUCGUAAUAGAAUCUGGAGAAAAUUCAUGAUUUUGGAUUCUUAUGCAUCUUCCACUCCUUAUGCGUAGACUGAAUAGACCAUCCGAUUGAUGGUAUUCUUUUCUUUGCAAUUGUGUGGAAUUUAGUGGGACGUGUACUACAGGGCAUGUGAUAAUUUGGACGUAAUGGCCCCAACUCAUCUGUCAAACGUCUAUCCUAAUACUACUAUCCCAACCCUUCUUAGGUUUGGUGGUGCGGGAGGUCAAGGGUUCGAACCUUGCCUCCCACAAAAUUUGUCACAAUAUGUGACGGUUUUUAUUGACCAGUUUCGAUGGAAUUUCUACUCACAUCGAGUCCCCUCCCCCUCCCCCUAGAAUAUACUAGGUUAGAUUAUAGAAAUUCUAUCGUAUCGAUCAAAAAAAAAAAAGAAUGCAAAAGGAAAUCAACCACUGGGCCAAUGGCUCAGUGCCACCAGAGAGGGGCUUAAGUCUCUCCUUGGAUUGUAAGUGAGGGUUCAAAACUCACCUGUAAUAAAAAAAAUCUAAAGGUUGUGCCAGAGCACUCCCUUAAUGUAGUUGGGUCUGUAUACUCACUAGCCCCCUAUCACAGCCUCCUUAGGCUCCCUCGUUGCUAAUAAAUAAAAAAAAGAAUGCAAAAGGAAAUCAGCUUGACCACAAUAGCGACUCCAAUAUUCAACAAAUGAAGAGAUGGGGUGAAAAUCUUGCCUUAAUGUAGUUGGGUCUGUAUAUUCACUAGCCCCCUAUCAUAGUCUCCUUAGGCUCCCCCGUUGCUGAUAAAAAAAAAAAAAAAGAAUGCAAAAGGAAAUCAGCUUGACCACAAUAGCGACUCCAAUAUUCAACAAAUGAAGAGCUGGGGUGAAAAUCUUGCCUUGAAUCUUCAAGAUAAUGAUGGAUUACGUGAUGAUGUUGUGUGAAUUUGCAUAUUUUCUUUUCGUUUAGUUGGACUGAGCAAAGGACUUUUUGACUCCUUGCUGACAUAAAUAUUAUGGUAGAAUGAACUUUCUUCCGUUGAAACUUGAAAGUAUCGCUUGAGAACAUAUCAUUAUUUGAUUUUCCUUUCUUUCUUUUCUUAUGUAAUCCUUCUAGAGGAGGAAUCGAACAUAAACUGAACAUGCUAAUAUUUGAUAAAUAUGUUUAUGAUGCAAACGAAAUUUUAUUUAAAAAAAUUUACUAUUCUGAUAAAGUGAACACGUUGAUAUAUAUAUUUUUUAAGACGGCGACAUCAGAACACGUUGAUUUUGGUUAUGUCAAAUUUAGCUAGCUAUAGAAGCUUCCAAUUUUUUGCCAUUUAACAUUAUUGAAUUUCUCUAUUGGGGCUCUGUGAUUGAAGUUUCUGGUGUGGUGUGGUCGUCAUAUGCCCCGAGGAAUCACAUCAGCAAGCAUUCGCCCCCCUUCCAACAGCGCCGGCUCUUUUUGACUCCUAAUACUAACCACCACAGUGCAGGGCAGGGCUGGCAAAAAUAAAGAUGAUUCCAAAUUAAUUGGCGGCAGCCGAGGCUAAGCUGUUCUUGCCCGCUAUUAAUUAAUCAGGCAGAAUAUUCUGAAAUUUCCAUUGCCAUGAAUUGGAAAAUGCUCCUACUAACAACCCUUGUAACCCCAAAAAAAAAAAAAAAAAAAAGGAGAUAUCACUUUCUUUCUUACCAAAGCAUGAUGUCACUUUUACGUCAUCCACAUCCAUCGUGUUGCUCGUGGGAUGCACGAGCAAUAAAUAGACGAAACGAGUCGUCUCAUCAUGUCUUAGGUGUCGACUGCCGACACAAGAGGGUUUAAUCAGUAAAACAGAAUAUUUAUUCACGAAAAAUCGUGUGUUUAAAUGCUGAGAAUUGCCCACGGGUUAAAUCACCCGGUCUGCGGCUGGAAAACCACUCGCAAGGUCGUGGGAUCGAACCUUAAUGGUACUUAGGCGCAGGGGAUUAGUCGGGGUCUUGACCCGGACACCCCUGUGUUGACAAAAAAAAAAAAAAAAAAAAUGCUAAGAAUUGUGUUAAUUGAUAAUCGAUAAAAGUCUCUGUCAACUACUUAUGAUUUUGGGAGCAUGUCCUGUAUCAUGAUGGUAAAAGGAGCCAAACCCACCCAUAUUUUCUACCCAAAAAAAAAAAUCUCAUCUCCUGAGCUUCUUAAAAUAAUAGUAUGGAAGAUGUGACCCCCCCUGCCUGGGGCCGUUCCCUCUUUUGCAUUGCUCCAAAUGAAGCUUUCAGAAUAUAGACAGAAUGGAAUAUCACAACCCGAAAUUCUUACCAGAUGAUGAACAAGAAUAUGAAGUUAGCAAUUUUUAUAUUUUAGGAAUGAAUUAAUGACAUAGUUUACAGCUCGUUAUUGAAUGCGACUGAUGUGACACGUCACAAUUUUUAACCAAACUUCACUAAGAAUGUAGAAGUAAUGCUCGAAUAUUCUCCGUUGAAAAAAAAAAUGAAGACAGUUCAAGGAAGAAAAAAUAUUCGGUAUAUUUAAGGACAGAAGUGAUUAAAUUGUUCUUACCGCAUAAUUCAAUGAUGACAACAUAAAGAGCCAUUUUUGGUCAUCCAAUUUUCUAAGGAUUAAUUUUUUAUGCACUAACAGUACAGUAAUUUUUUUAUACUAGCAGUUCUGGAUGUAUGCUACAUAUAUAUUAUUUGAAUUCAUGUUAUGUGAUAUGAUCUAAACCUUGUUGUGUAAAAAGAAAAUUGUACAUAUGAAAAACAUAUUCAUUUUUUAAACAAAGAAAAAAUUAGAAUAUUUUUAUUAGUACUUCUUCCAACUACUUCGCUCAUUUUCUUAACAACCUUUUGUAUUCAUCAACCGAACAUCUCAAAGGUGGUACAAAUACUUUUUUUUUUUGGUUCAAAACAUAUUUCUAAUAGAUUCAAAUCAAACGGACAGUUUCAGUUUAUUACAUCUUCUGUUGUAUUAUAAGUUGUUAUUAAUUAGUGAAAGAAGUAAAUUAUAUGAAGUCAAAGAACAACACUCUAUAAAUAAAUAAUUAAUUAAAUAGACAGCAUUUUUUUGAUCAAAAUUAAAUUCCAGUGAUAUGCAAUUCCUUGUUUGGGUCGAUAAUUUCACUAGAUUGGCAUGGAAUGACGACCUUUUCUAUUGGAUCUGUGGUUUAUUUCAUAGGUCAUUUUCUUAAAGAGGCUAAAAAGAAUUUUUUUUUUUCAUUCUUUUCGUGGCGGUCUCUUACUCUCUUUAUUUGAGCUAUCCCAAUAAAUUAUUACCAUUGCAGGCUCCAUGUCAGGUUUAUUAUUUGGACGUUCCUGCAGACUUUUAUGACCCAUUACUCGUAAAAUGUUGCAAUAGAUGCAUGUUAGUGUCGAGCAAUUCAAAACCAAAUUUAAAACCGUAACCUGGUUCCUGACGUUUCUUAUUUCCUAAUAGGCUUCUUCUUCUUCUUCUUCUUUUUUUUUUUGUUUAGCACACGGACGUAUUAUAAUGAAUGCUUAACAUGCCACAUUUUAACAGAAUCAAUGGAAAUACGGUAGUGAUGCUGGAUUAUUCUCCACAGAGAGUAAAGACAGCUUAAGGGUCAAAAGAAGAGGAAAAAAUGAAGGACAGACCAGACGUGCAAACAAACAGAUAAUAUAAUAGGACCCAAUAAAUUGUCGCCAUUGCAGGCUCUUUACUCUUCUACAUUCCUCAUUUCCUGUAGACUUCUGUGACCCAAUUACUCGUAAAAUGUUGCAAAAAACAUGGAGCAAUUCAAACCCUCUUUUUUUUUUUUUUUUUUUUUUUUGUGUCAGGGUGAUUAAAGGAAUACAAAAUUCUUGGAGACGACAUGGUCUUUAUAAUAAAAAAUAUAUAUAUAUAUAUAUAUAUAUAUGAAGGGCAGCUUUGCAUAUUUUAAGGUUGGUAAAGUCAAGGUAGAGAAAUUGAACCACUUGUGAUUCAUUAGCUUCAGAGGCCAAAGAUUCCAACACUAUUAAUAUGUGUUUUAGCUAAGUGAAGGGGUAGGGGCGUGAAGAGGGUUUGCAAUUGCAUAGCAAUGUUGGAUUUGAGUCCAUUAUAUGUACUUUGAUUUAGUUGAGCUAAAUCCCUUUUUUUUUUUUGACUCAACUGUUCUAGAAAGCAGGAUCGAGCUCGGCGGAAUCAAUUUACCUGCAGAAAUACCCUUUUUUUUUUGGUUGGGAUUGAAUUUAGAUUGCAGGAGUUGAGUUGGAAAUAUUCCAAGCGCAACGCAAUGGGAGUCUAUGAUUCCCCAGCAAUGAUGUUGCAGGGCAGGAGGAGCCAGGAUUAGGAUUAUGAAUAAAGUAACCACAAAUUGAUACAGUUGGUCUGGCAAUUAGUCCCAUAUGUGAUUUGUAAUUUAUGUAUGCACAGUAGCCAAUGGAUAGCUUCUUUGAAAGUUAAGUUAAACGCUUUGAGUCAUGAGUUGUGCCUAACCACCAACCCCCUGCAGUAUUAGUAUUAGUACUAGAUCAGUAAUUUUUUUUUUUGACAUCUGACUUUUUUUUUUUCCUUUGUAUUGGUUGGUUAAUCAGUCCCCGCCAAUAAUUAUCAUGAAUGAUUACAACAUCCAAAUUAAAAAAGAUGUGAUAUGAAGCAUAUCAUAUUAGUAUUAAAAUACACGACAUAUCCUAAGUUUCCAAUUGCUUUCAUCAUGAGGAUGUCCACAAAAGUUCUACUACUUAAUUAAUUUUUAUGUGCUAAUUAGGCACACAUGUUAGAUUAGUUGAGAAACCGAUCGAUCAAACCAGUUAAGCAUGUUCGUUAAUUAUGUCAAGCUCGAGUCUUAACACGUCUUCUUGCAAUUAAACUUAAUAAAUUAAGUGCCUUUACGCAUUUGAAAGAAGAAAGAGCACCAUUAAUUACCAUUUUUUGUUUUUCCUUGUAGCAUUCUUUUUUCACUCUCUAUAUUAUUAUAUGUGAAUGGAAUUAUGGAACCAACCCCACACUAAGCGUGGAUUCAUUUGUAUUAGUAGAAGGUCUUGACGUUCGGUAAUGAACACAAGGAACUGGACUCCAUAUCUAAGAAGUUAUGGUAGCAUUUGCUUUCAAGUUCCAAUGCUCAUAUUAAUCAUGAUUUCUAUCUGGAAUUAAUAUUUCUAUGCACCUUGAUGGAUAUUUACAAUUCUUUCUUUCAAUUAACCAACAAUUUUUUUAAAGUGAUAAUUCCAUUCACAAACUAAAUUACUAUGAACUAUAUAUGUCAGUCAAUUUUGUUAAGCAAAGCUUUAAAUGAAUUUUCUAGAAGGAGUUGAUGAGAAUGGACGCACUUGAUUUAGUCAAAUUUAUAAUCAACCAUUACGAAACCUUAAAAACAAAAAAAAAAAAAAAGAUUUGUUUGAUAUUUCUUAUCAACUAAACGAACGAGAAGACAACGAAGAAACUUUCACCUAAAAGAUGGAAAAUCGAAAUCCAUAUUACCAUUGCUAGUAGACUAUCAAACAAAAGAUACACAAAAUUACAACAUACAUUGAAAGAGAGGUGCUACUCUGCUCUAUGACCAACGAUCAAUCAGAAGGAAUUGAAAAUUUUUCUAGAAAGUGAAGAUUUUGCCAUGACUAAAUUGACAAUCGAUCGUGGUAUGAGGUAGAGCUGUUUUCCUAGUGAUAUGUGGUUUGUGUGUUGAAACUUUUGUAAGUGUGACUGUAGAAUCAUAUUUUUUAAUGGCCUAAACAGAUUUCCAAGUGGGUUAUCUAUAUCUUCAAGAUUCAUUGUAGUUCACCAAUUUGUGAUUAUUUUCAAUGAAUCGCAGAUGAUCAUAACCAGUGGCCGACACGGCAUCUUGUUGCUCUUGUUUGAGCUAGGUCAAGCAAAGGAAUUUUAGCGCCAAAAACAAACAAUAUAUAGGGUUAGAAUCAACAUAAGUUGAGUUACCCUUUGCUAGAUUCUAAAUUUUAACUUUUUUGGCCUAUUAAAAAAAAUCUACAAAAAACAAGCCAAGUAUAGGGCCAUAUAAUGUUAUUGAUAUUUCACUUUAUGAAAUCUUUUUAUUUCUCGGAACUGCGGCAGGCAUAUGCACGCUCAAAGACAUUGGCCGAGAAAGAAGUGCUGAGAUACAAUGAUGAGAAGAAAUUAGAGGUGGUGAGUCUUGUUUGUGGACUUGUUGGAGGAUACAAAUUUCAAUCCUUGAUAGGCGAAAGCAUGAGAGUGCUAGUAUCCCAUGUUACCAAAGCCAAGAUGAGGUAUCAAAGGUUUUUGGUGGGAGUGAUUGGAAAACUUCCAGUUUUGCACGUUGAAGAUGUUAUUGAUGCCCAUAUCUUCUGCGUGGAAAACCCGGGCUUCACUGGCAGAUUUCUAUGUGCUUCUGAUCUUCUAAAAUCAGAGGAGAUUGCAACGUUGAUUCAAAGUUGUUGCUCAGAAAGCAAAAUUCCCGAUGAGUAAGGCUUACCUUUAACCAUUUUUAUAAAUUAUAUUGAUGUGCCAUAGUUUUAGAGUCUGUCUUUGGGUCUUUGAAAUCAUAGGAACUUCCGUCGUAUCAAAAUGAGUAAAUGGUAAAAAUGGUCGCUACAUUAUUUAAAGUGGCAUGGUCUAGUUACUAAUCUUUUUUCCUUCUUCGAUCAAAAAGGUCAUUCAACUCCUUAAAACGGAUCUUUCAUGUCAUAUCGUCCAAUUUAACUAAUAAACCAAUCUAAAAAAAAGAAAAAAAAAACAUAUUUUGUAACCUUUGGCCAAAUAACUUUUGAGCAAAACUCACAAGCACAAAAUAGUUAACCCGAGUUGUUUAGUAGUUUUUGGACCCAAGCUUAUAAGCCAAAGAUUUCAUCUCCGACUCUACUGAUGUGGGACAAAGGAACGGGUAUCACAUAUUUGACCUACUCUUAUAGGUUUUCAGGAGAAAAAGUCCUAAAAUAUAGAUCAUUUUCGGUAAAUUUAGCAGAGACUGACUCAAAAAGCCUGUUUUAAGGAAUUGCAUGACCUUUUUGCCCCAAAAAAAAGGUUUAAUGAUCAAAUCGUGCUAUUUUAAAUAGUUUAAUCACCAUUCUCGUCAUUUGCUCUAUCAAAAUUUGAGUUACACAGAAACGUACUUUAAGUCUAGUGUUAGCCAUAUACAAGUUAAAUCUGAAUAUCAUCCGUAGGACAAAUCACAUGAAUAACAAUGCAGUUUAGCCGAAAGUGAAUCGUUAGUUUAACUUUGAAACGUUACCAUUGGAAAGACCAUAAUAGUCGUUUAAAUUUAAGAGGGCAGAAUCUUAUCAGUACUUCAUAGUAUAUUUCUUUUUUUCCAACCGUCCUUUAUUUUUGCUUUACCCAUCUGGAGCAGUGUUUACUCAGCCCAGAACUGUUUCUCUUCAUGGUAUGAAAUGGGAAAUGGGGUAAAUGAACCAACGGAAGUUCAUGCACACCCCAAUCUGUCGAGAGGGCCUAGACCCAAUAAAUGUUCCAAAUUAUCCAAUGCCAAGGCAAAGACUUGGAUCCACUCUGUCCUCCAACCGGCUUUACCAACUGUGAUUGAGGAGUAUAAUGCUAAGGCAAAAACUUGCAUAAACUCGAUCCACCAUUUAAUAUAGAUCUCGUGGAGAUAAAUAAGGCACGUCACUUUUUUUUUUGCUUUACGACCUUCAGGCAUUUCGGAAAAAAAUGACGUGACAAGUUUGUGGCCACACGAUCUAUAGCGUUGCCAGUGGACCAGUUUGUCCAAGUAUUUGCCUAAUGCCAACUGUUUGGUGUGCACGCUGGUAGACGAAGUACUUUUUUCUGACGUCAAUAUACUGUGGUUAACAAUAAUUAUGUUCUGAUUGUGGCUUUUUUUUUUUUCAGGUUCAUUGAGGAUUCGAAUAGAGAUAUUAGAUGGGGUUCUUCAAAGCUGGAGGAAUUGGGCUUUCACUACAAAUAUGACGCUGUGAUGACCCUAAAUGACUCUCCUCAGUAUUUCAGGGUUCCACUGGAGAGUUCCUAAAACACUACCAUAUAAGCAUGUUUCUGUUCAGUCAUUUCUAAUAAGGCUGAGAAAUCCCACCUUACAAGUAAGGAAAAGUUUAUGGUCCCUUUUGGGAACCAUUUUAUCAACUUGUAUCUCUCAUUAAAGAUAAUAAUUUAAAUUUUAAACAUUUAAUAAUGUUUAAACUAGAGGUCAAUAGCAUUUUUUUCACCAUCUAACGAUGAAUUUCACUUGCGGGUAUGAUAUCAAAAUGGACCGUAGAAUCACCUUAAAAGUAAAACCCUUUUUUGUGUCAAAUCUCAAUAGAUAAUAUAAUAAAAAUAGGGUCUCUCACAUUUUGUAAAAUAAUUUUUUCGUCUCUCACUUUUAAAAAUGUAAUUUUACGUCAUUUAUAAAUUCACAUUGGUCAAAUUUGGUCCCUACCUAAAUUUUCGACUAAUUUUUUGUCGAAAUCUAUCACGUGCCUUGCAGGUGAUCAUUUUUAAGGGGUAAAAUCGUGAAAUCAAAUUUUACAUAAUCCGAUCUAUAGUCCCUCACAUUUCACAAAAUGAAUUGUUUCAUCCAUCACAUUUUAUAAAAUGAAUUUUUCAAUCCCUCAUUGACCAUGUGUACAAAUAUUUUUUCUUUAAACUCAUGUAUAUAUCUAUUUGAUUUCACCUGAAUACUAUGAAUAACAUAUAACAUAUCUCUAUUUGAUUUCAUCUAAACAGGCUAAUUGUAGUUGUACACAUGCUAUUCAAUAGAUAUAUACUUGCGUUUAAAGCUAACAAGUUUGUUUUAAACUCAUGUAUAUACCCAUUUGAUUUCACCAUGUGAACCUAUUCAAUAUUUAUGACCUUUUCUCUUUUGGUAAUAAUUCAUUUAUUGAGUUGUAUAAUAAGACCAUCUAAUUAAUCGGUCCUAAUUUGAAUUCUAUAGUCAUAAUAACAAAUUGCAAUUUAAAUUUGAAAUUUCUACUCGCCACCUUUAAGACCAACAGUUAAACUACUUGUCUUGUGAUUGUUUUAAAAUUUGAGAGUGCCAAUCACUUACUUCUUUUUGUCAUACUUUUCAUUUAUUUAUUUUUUCUCUUCAAAUUUAAUUCGAUAUAAACAUUCGAUAAUGUUUAGGAUUAAAUGUCUUAUUUGUUUUCAAUUUUUGAGUAAAAAGAAAUGAACAUGAGUGAAAAAAUAACAAUUUUUUUAAAUUCAUAUAUAUAUCUAUUUAAUUUCGUCUGAACAAUAUGUUUAGAUGAAUCAAAUAGAAAUAUAUUACAUGCUAUUCGUACUAUUUAAGUGAAAUCAAAUAGAUAUAUAUAUACAUAUAUAUGGGUUAAAAAAAUUAUUCAUAUAUAUGAUCAAUGAAAAAUAAAAAAAUUCAUUUUAUAAAAUGUGAAGAGUGGAAAAUUUUAUUUUGUGAAAUGUGAGAAACGAAAAAAUUCAUUUUGUAAAAUGUGAGAAAUUAUGGAUCGGAUUAUGUAAAAUUUGAUUUGACAAUUUUUCCCUUAAAAAAUGUUCACAUAGAAGGCACGUAGUGGAUUCUGAUAAAAAAUUAAUUGAAAACUUAUGUAGGGAUCAAAUUUGACCAAUGUUAAUUUGUAAAAGACGUAAAAUUACACUUUUAAAAAUAAGGGACAAAAAAAGUUAUUUUACAAAAUGUAAGUGACAUUUUGAAUGAUUUUCCCGUAAAAAUAUGUUGAAUAAGUGAAAAAAAUAUAAAUAAUGCCACUUUCAGAAGAAAUUCUUGAAGUGGACUGUCAUUCAAUGUUGUUGAAAUGGUCAAAACAAUCUUUAUGAUUUUUAUAUUUUGUGGUUUAUUUAAUGACCAUACGUACUAACGGUCUGAUACUGGAUUGCAUGAAUUAAAGGUACAGGCGACUCUAGGGUCUGGCCUUUUUGCUUUCAAUUUUGCCUCCUACUCCUUUUUAUUUUUUAUUUUUUAUUUUUUCAGAAUCUGUUCUCUAGUUUUUGAGUCUGAUAACAUGAUUUUAGCCGAUCAGCUUACUCAAGAUUCAUCUACCAAAAGGUUUAUUUUGCUAAAUCAAACAUUGAAACUCGAUUUAAUUUAUAAUUCUACGUACACAUCACCUGAAGGAAAAAGGUGACCAUACAUCAAUCAUCAUGAAAUACAGAAAUUACAAAUGAACACUACCUACUAUGAUUGAUAUCUUCCGAGAUCAAAUCAGCAUUUAAUUUUUUUUUGACAUCUGAUUUUGUUUUCCUUUGUAUUGGUUGGUUAACCAGUCCCCGCCAAUAAUUAUCAUGAAUGAUUGCAAACAUCCAAAUUAAAAAGAUAUGAUAUGAAGCCUUAAUUAAUUAAAACCUUAAUUAAAUUUUAUGUACUUCAAUGAGAACCGAUCGAUCAAACUAGUUAAGCAUGUUCGUUAAUUAUGUCAAGCUCGAGUCGUAACACGUCUUCUUGUAAUUAAACAUAAUAAAUUAAGCGCCUUUACGCAUUUGAAAGAAGAAAGAGCACCAUUAAUUACCAUUUUUUUGUUUUUCCUUGUAGUAUUCUUUUUCAGUCUCUCUAUAUUAUUAUAUGUGAAUGGAAUUAUGGAACCAACCCCACACUAAGCAUGCAUUCAUUUGUAUUAGUAGAAGGUCUUAACGUUCGGUAAUGAACACAAGGAACUGGACUCCAUAUCUAAGAAGCUAUGGUAGCAUUUUCUUUCAAGUUCCAAUGCUCAUAUUAAUCAUGAUUGCUAUCUGGAAUUAAUAUUGAAAGAAAAAUAUUUACGCAGCGGAAUGAGCAAACAAUUUUUCGAUGUUAUUGCUUGAAUUUGCAAUUUGAUUCAGGCCUUGAUAUUUCAAAACAAAUAAAUACUUACUUGUUUAGACGAAUAUGCGAUGCCUGCUACAGAUGUUCGAAUUCCAGCAAUCAGCCUUCCACGCGUUACGCCUCUAGCUCGUCCACACAGACUCAAACUAAUGGAUUACUGAAUUUUGGAGUUUUGUCUUUUGUAGAGAAGAAAUAACUUUCUUUCUUUUCAAAAGACCAGCCGCAAUUGCCUCUCACCCUUUUUGGGACCUUGCCCAACUUUUGUCAAUAGGGUUUUAUUUAUAUAGUUGUUUUGAUUAGAUCAAUAUCUUAUACUAUCUUGAUCAAAUCAAUAUAACACAACUCAUAUGAUUAUCCAACCCAUAUUUGAUUCUUAUCUUGAUCAAAUCAAAACAACCGAUAUAUAUUUUAUUCUCAUCUUGAUCAAAUCAAAAUAGAAUAAAAUUAAUACAAUUAUUUAAUUCAUGUUUUAGUUUUGAUCACAUCAAAAUAUAAACACCAUUAAUAUAAUUAUAUUAACUGUUCUCUUCAUCUUUAUAAUAUUUGAGUCAUACAUAAAUACCAACUCCAAAUUCAGUCUAGAUUGGGUUUCAAGAUGUGCUAGCAUACUUACCAAAGUAUAAACCCAUUCUAAUCAAUUUCCCUAUUAGUUCAAAUCCUUUUGUGUGUGACUAUCUAGGUUCAUUACCCAGUUGGCAAUGUAAUAAACGUUAACCUAUUAACAUUAGUUAGAACAUUUCUAACACUUGAGAAGUUCUCCAAAUAUACCUCAAGUUAACAUAGUUCAUGAGUGAUGCCUAGCAGCAUAUCAUGACGCCCAACCGAUGAUGAAAGAUUGGAAUCCUUCUACGUGAACCAUGACUGCAAUUGUUUUGCAUAAAAAUCCUUCUAUUACUAUAUCCCUAUUGAGUUCAGUUUAGUAAUAAUGUCAAACUCUAAAACUCAAUCGUAUGACUUAAUCUAUCAAAUUACUUGACUAUAAAAUUGAUCAUCUACAUGAAUCAAUUUGUCUUGGCCAAGAACUCCUUUAGUCAAGAUUGAUAGAUUUCAUAAGAUAUCAAACCAUUCAUGAUGGAAUAAUAGAUCCCAUUUUGCAUAAACACUUGGCUCCAUGCAUAACUAAUUAGAGGUACCAUAUGCCAAUACUCAUCCGUGAUUAGAACAAGUAUUUUCUGCAUUGAUAGACUUUAACCACCCAUGAAUGAGCCAACCAUGUCAUCUCAGGUCUAAGGAUCACAUGCACCAUUGCAAUCAAUAAUGAAUCAUUGACAUUAAUAAGCUAAUGAUUCAUUAUUUAAAUUAGUUAGUGUUCAAGCCAACUUGUCACACAAGUGCCUCUCAUAUUUGUUCUAAUAUCACAUACUUAAUGGUAUGAGACUCGCCAUUCUAUUAUCAUUAAUAUCUCAUAUUAAUCAUAGAAAAUAAAUAUGAGACUAAUCUUCCGAAUUAAACUUGUCCAAUUAAUAAUCCUAUGAUUAGGAACAAUUUAAUAUUAUUUGUACCAAGUUUUUCCGUCACUCAUAUUCUCAUCACAUGAGAAUGGAAUCUUAACAAAUAAUAAUGGACAACAUUCAAUCAAAUCUAAACCAAGAAUAAUUGAAUCAAGAAGUGCCAUUUUAUUUUAAUCAAGACAAUAAUUAUUAAUGCUCUAGGGCAUACUGCUAACAAAUAUUUCUAUGCACCUUGAUGGAUAUUUACAGUCUUUCUUUCAAUUAACCAACUUUUUUUUUAAAGUGAUAAUUUCAUUCACAGACUAAAUUACUAUGAACUAGGUCAGUCAAUUGUGUUAAGCAAAGCUUUAAAUGAAUUUUCUAGAAGGAGUUGAUGAGAAUGGACGCAAUUGAUUUAGUCAAAUUUAGAAUCAACCAUUACGAAACCUUAAAAACAAAAAACAAAAAAAAAAAGAUUUGUUUGAUAUUUCUUAUCAACUAAACGAACGAGAACACAACGAAGAAACUUUCACCUAAAAGAUCGAAAAUCGAAAUCCAUAUUACCAUUGCUAGUAGACUAUCAAACAAAACGCACUUGAGUUUUUUGCCAAAUUUGUCAGUUACAAGUUUUUUAAAAACUUUAGUUAUAGUAAUCUAAAAAAAUUUCUCAAAAAUUUUAAACUAUACAUUUCAAAAUAUAUAAAAAUUUACACACUUCAAAAAAUUUUUUAAAAUUUAUAUAAUAAGUUACAGUAAAGUUUUAGACAAACGCCUAAAAAAUUCAUUUCUUAAAUAGGGCCAUAGAUUGAAAGAGAGGUGUUACUCUGCUCUACAACCAAUGACCAAUUAGAAGGAAUUGAAAGUUUUUCUAGAAAGUUGAAGAUUUUGCCAUGACUAAAUUGACAAUCGGUAAUGGUAUGAGGUAGAACUGUUUUUCUAAUGAUUUGUGGUGUGCGUGUUGAAACUUUUGUUAGUGCGAUUCUUCAAUGGCCUGAAUAGAUUUUCAACUGGAUUAUCUGUAUUUUCAAGAUUCAUUGUAGUCCACCAAUUUGUGAUUAUUUUCAAUGAAUGGCAGAUGAUCAUAACCAGUGGCCAACACGGCUUCGUGUUGCUCUUGUUCGAGCCAGGUCAAGCCAAGGAAUUUAGUGCCAAAAACAAACAAAAUAAAGUGAAUUUUUUUUUAUAAAAAAAAAAAAAAAAAGAAAAAGAGAGAGAGAGAGAGCCUUAAGCUAAGACAUGAAUAUUCGGGGAUUUCCGGUAUGGGUCAUUUAAUGAAAUGAAUAUCGUCCAGUUACCACCCAAAACAAAAAAAGGAAAAAAAAAAAAAAAAGAACAUCCAUACGCCAAAAUUAUUGGUAAAUGGUCACAACAAUAUACUAUUCGGUAUUGUUAAGCAAACAUAAAUAAGUUCAGUACAAAUAGAUGCUAGUUUUCGUUUCAAAAUUAGUGGAUUAUUAGUUGGUUAUUGAUUGUAAUGUUAUUAAAUAUAAUUGGUAUAUAUUAAUUCCACCACUGUGGACUGAUUAUAAUCAUAUGAAAAUUUUUUCCCCCCUUUUGUAAGGCUCAUUUCUCAUUUAUUUUUUUCAUUAAGUGUAAACUUCAAUUUUUUAAAUUUACUUUUAUAAGUGAAAGACGUCGAAUUAAGAACCUCCCAUUUAUAAUAUUUUUUAUCUUAUCAUCUAAUCCAAUCCUGGUCAACAACUUCAAGUUUCCUUCCUACCCAAUCCAAUCCUUCCCGGUCGACAACUUCAAGUUUCACUUCCUAGCAAAACUCAAACAAUUAUUCAAGUUCUUCUCAAUAGUUAUAUAAGAAACCUCCAAAAACACCAAGCACCAUAUCUUGAAAAUAGUGGAUGACAUCAUCCACUAUUUAUCAUCCACUAUUUUUGAAGAUAUGGAUUGGAAACGUCAAUUUUGGCGACAUAACGUAAUCGAGGACUGAGGACGAGAUGUCAGUGAUCGUGGAAAAAAUUUGGCUUUCACAAUAUAAUAAUAAUAUAUAACAAUACAGGCAGAUUAUGCUACAUUAUAUUAUUAUACUACAAGAGGAAAAAGAUUCACCUGAGCGCAAGUGGGAGCACCAUGCUCCAGCAUCAAUGUACUCCGAUCCUCGAGAAGCAACAAAUGACCACCCCAGCCUCCAAAGUAAAAUUAAUUAUAGGGAUAAUUUCAAAAAACCUCCCCUAAAGUUUAAAAAAUUACACUUAUAUCCCUUAAUUUAAUAGUUUUAAUAAUAAAACCUUAAAAUAAUAUUGACUUGAUCAAUUUUUUAAAUGAAUAUCCAAAAAAUGCACUUGUCUGAUGAAUUUUAAUUUAUUUUUCUAUACAAUUAUAAGAUUAUUUAGUAUAAUUAUAAGGCAAAUGUACCAAAAUUUUCAUGCCUAUUUCUACUAUUUGAUAAAUAAUUAUAAUAAUAAUUUUAUUACUAUGAUAUGAUGCUUUUGAUGGUAUUUUAUUAUAAAUUUUGAUUUAUAAGAUAGAAAUGAAAAUGUUGAAAUAGUUCAUUUAGAGUUUAUGAAUUUUUGGAGCGGUGGGAUAUCAUAUUUUAAUAGUGGUUUUGGGCCAUUAUUUAUUUAUUUUUAAUUUUAAUACCAAAAAAAGAUUACAAAUAUCAGCAAAAACAUUGGAUUGCAUAUAAAAUUAACUCAUAAAAAAAUCACUACUUCGACAUUUAGUUAUAAUAAAAACUAGAGGCAAUAGUGGUAGUUCUAUAAUUUUAUUGGUAAGCAAUUUAAAAAAAAAGAAUGAAAAAAUAAUUUAAAAACUCAUUCUAAGAAUAAGCAUGCCAAAUAGGCCUGUCAACGGGUCGGAACUAAUAAAUCCGGACCGAACCCGUUAUUCUAUACCAGUUUCGAAUCCGACUCGGAUAUCCGACGGGUAUUCUAUUCUUUCUCCAGGAACCGGAUCCGGCGGGUCCUAGAUCCAGGUCGGACCUACCCGAAAAAAUUAUAUAUUUUUAAAAUAAUAGUUACAGAAGUAAAUUUGGAAUAUUAUAUUAAUAAAUAUAUACUUUUUAAAUUAUUAAUCAAUUUAUAUUCGGGUUCGGGUCGAAUACGGGUCGAAAAUACCACAUUUCGUAUCCGAUUUGUUUUUUGUUUAACAAAACGGAUCCGGAUCCGGGUCCCGGAAUUAUAUCCCUACCCGUAUCCGAAAUAAUUUGACUGAUCCGGUCCGGAUUCAAUAGACCGUUGACAAGCCUAAUGCCAAAUAAGGAAAUUUCAUUAAAAUAUUUAAAAAUAAAAUUAUUAUUUUAAAUAAUAAGGGAGGUAUGUAUAAUUUUUUAAAUUUCAGGAGAGCUCAAUGUGAUUGUCAGAAACCUAUAUCCCUUAAUUAUAUUGUGCUGUAUCAUGCAAACAAAGUGCUCCUAUAUACAACCCUUGGCCACAUCAAUCAGUCACCAGAUUUAAUUGCAAAAAAUGAACACCAAGGUUUGCGUCACGGGAGCUGCAGGCUAUCUCGGUUCUGCCCUCGUUCACAAGUUGCUGGAAAAAGGGUAUGCCGUCCAUGCUACUCUCCGGAAUUUAGGUAGGCAACCUGCCAUGCCAAUCUUUACUUCUUGGUCUCUCUCUGUCUUUCUUUCUAUCACUUACACACUGCCUAAGUAAUGAGGAGAUGGCUGAGCAAUUAGAGCUAUUAGGGUCGAAGUACUGGCGGGCUUUGUUAUACGUUGACAGGCUAAUUAAGCAAGAAGGGUUUCGUUUUAACAGCUAAAUACUUGUAUGUGAUGAUCUAGGAAAAAAGUUAAGAAAGUAGUGCACAUGUACGUGCAGGUGAUGCAUCAAAGACAGGGCUGCUCAAAGCUCUUCCCCACGCAGACACAAGGCUCUUAUUGUUUCAGGCAGAUAUCUACAAUCCUGAUGAGUUUGGUCCUGCUAUUCAAGGCUGCCAGGUGGUUUUCCACGUUGCCACUCCCUUGCAGCACGACGCCUCCAGCUCUCAGGUUCCAAUUCUCGAACCGUUAGAGAAGAAAAAAAAUGGAAAAAAAAACUAUAAUGUUGCUGCUGGGUUAAUGAUGCUUUCUUUCAAAAUUAACGAAGCUAAAACGGAAUUUCCCUACAGCAAUAUGAAGAAAUUCUCCUCCCUGGAACGAUUUGUGGAGGAUAUUGUUUUGAUUUCACGAGGUGAAGAACCAAAACUAGUUUCAUUGAUGCCUCAGAUGUAUGCUAUUCAAAUACACAGUUUCAGCGAUGCCUCUUGAAAAAGUACCCAUUUAAUAGGCACCCUUUUAGGGAAUACACACAUAUCUUUUCUUAAGAUUCAACCAAAAUGGCCCAAAGUGCCGAUUUAUUGACUUUUGAAUAUAAUCUAUUGCAACAGUCAAAAGAAGACAAAUGCGCAUGACACUCAGCAAUUUUCCUCCAAAAGUUUCCCACAAAAGAAAUUCAACUGAGUUGGUGUAAAGCUUUAAUUUAUGUCUUUUGAUCUUCUACAAACUUUCCAAUUUGGGAUUCCAACCAAUACACCGCCAACGAUACUUACAAUACAUAGCAUUAACUACCCCACUAGAUGGUGUAUUAUGUGGGCGUGUUUGGAUAGAAGAUUAUUUGGGAUUUUUUUUUUUUGAAAAAAAUAUUAUAGCAUUUUUUGAUGUGACAUAUAUGAGAUCACAUAAAAAAUUGAUUCAAAAAUAUGCUGAUGCUAUAUGCAAAUAAAAGGGCGAAAAAUUAUUAGUAUUAUUAUGCUCGUGUGACUUACAUUACAUGUCUAUCAAGUACAGCUGAAAGUUUGCAUCGGCACUGUUGUGGUAGACGAUUAGUAUAUAUAUUAACUAUAGGAAGAAUGCAGAAAUGGCGUGCCUGAUGAACUUAUAAUUUGGGAGUCGAUUUUGAGGACCUAAGGAGAUCGAGUUUAAGGUGCCUGAAACCAAUUUUUGGGACUUAAAUUUCGAUUAAUUUGAGGUGCAUUACGGCAGCAUAUUUAAACUGGUUGGAUUAAUUGUUCUGUGACCCUAUCAAGUGUACAAUGAUUACGCAUGCAGUAUAAGAAUACUUGUGAGGCAGCUGUUGCUGGGGUGAAGACCAUUGCUGAAUCCUGCAUCAAAUCAGGAACUGUGAAGCAACUCAUCUACACUGCCUCUGUUGUAGCAUCAUCAGCAUUAAAGGAUGAUGGAUCAGGCUACAAGGACACAAUCGAUGAAUCCUGUUGGACUCCUCUCAAUGUCUCCUAUAGAUGCGCCACAGAUUUCUUAACUGUAUGUAGUAGGUCUAUCCUCAUUCUUACUCAGAUUGCACUGCUUUAGCAAAGUAUAUUUGGAUUAUUAGUUUCAAUCUAAUCUCUUAUGAUAACAAGCCUAAUGCCUUAUUCUCGUUUGCUUUAAAAUUAAUUUUUUGUCAAAAUUAACGUGGAAACUGAUUAUAUAGAAUAAUUAGAAUCAACAUGAGUUAAUGUUACCCUUUGCUAGAUUCUAAAUUUUAACUUCUUUGGCCUAUUAAAAAAAAUCUACAAAAAAAAAAAAAAAGUCAAAUAUAGGGCCAUAUGAUGUUAUUGAUAUUUCACUUUGUCAAAUCUUUUUAUUUCUCGGCGCUGCGGCAGGCAUAUGUACGCUCAAAGACAUUGGCCGAAAAAGAAGUGCUGAGAUACAAUGAUGAGAAGAAAUUAGAGGUGGUGAGUCUUGUUUGUGGAAUUGUUGGAGGAUACAAAUUUCAAUCCUUGAUAGGCGAAAGCAUGAGAGUGCUAAUAUCCCAAGCUACCAAAGACAAGAUGAGGUAUCAAACUCUAAGGUUUUUGGAGGAAGUGAUUGGAAAAAUUCCAGUUUUGCACAUUGAAGAUGUUAUUGAUGCCCAUAUCUUCUGCGUGGAAAACCCGGGCUUCACUGGCAGAUUUCUAUGUGCUUCUGAUCUUCUAAAAUCAGAGGAGAUUGCAACGUUGAUUCAAAGUCGUUGCUCAGAAAGCAAAAUUCCCGAUGAGUAAGGCUUACCUUUAACUACUUUUAUAAAUUAUAUUGACGUGCCAUAUAGUUUUAGAGUCUCUCGUGGGUCUUUGAAAUCAUAGGAACUUCCGUCGUAUCAAAAUGAGUAAAUGGUAAAAAUGGCCGCUACAUUAUUAUUUAAAGCGGCACGGUCUAGUUAUCAAACUUUUUUUCUUUUUCGAUCAAAAAGGUCAUUCAACUCCUUAAAACGGGCAUUUAGUGUCAUAUCGACCAAUUUAAUCAAUAAAUCAAUCUAGAAAAAGAAAAAAAAAAUCUUUUGUAACCCUUGGCCCAAAUAAAUUUUGAGCAAAAUUCAUAGGCACAAAAUGGUUAACCUAAGUUGUUUAGUAGUCUUUGGACCCAAGCUUAUAAAGACAAAGGAACGGGUAUCAUAUAUUUGACCUACUCUUAUAGGUUUUCAGGAGCAAAAAAGUCCUAAAAUAUAGACCCUUUUUGGUUAAUUUAGCAGAGAAUGACUCAAAAAGCCUGUUUUGAGGAAUUUACAUGACCUUUUUGCCCCAAAAAAAAGGUUUAAUGACCAGAUCGUGCCAUUUUAAAUAGUUUAAUCACCAUUCUCGCCAUUUGCUCUAUCAAAAUUUGAGUUACACAGAAACAUACUUUAAGUCUAGUGUUAGCCAUAUACAAGUUAAAUCUGAAUAUCAUCCGUAGGACAAAUCACAUGAAUAAGAAUGCAGUUUAGCCGAAAGGGAAUCGUUAGUUUAACUUUGAAACGUUACCUACUGUAAUUUAUUGGAAAGACCAUAAUGGUGGUUGAAAUUUAAAAGGGCAGAAUCUUGACGGUAUAUUUCAUUUUUUCCAACCGUCCUUAUUUUUGCUAUACCUAUCUGGAGAAGUGUUUACUGAGCCCAGAACUGUUUCUCUUCAUAGUAUGAGAUGGGCAAAGAUACCAAGAAAUGGAUAAUGAACCAACAGAAGUUCAUGCAACCCAAUCUGUCAAGAGGGUCUGGACCCAAAAAAUGUUCCAAGUGACCCAAUACCAAGGCAAAAACUUGGAUCCACCAAUUGUUGGACUUAAAUCCACUCUGUCCUCCAACCGGCUUUACUAGCUGUGAUUGAAGAGUACAACGCUAAGGUAAAAACUUGCAUAGACCCGAUCCACCAUCUGAAUAUAGAUCUCGAGGAGAUGAAUAAGCCAUGGCGCUUUUUUUUGCUUUACGAUCCUCAGGCAUUUCGCAAAAGAAAUGACGUGACAAGUUUUGGCCACACGAUCUAUAGCGUUGCCGGUGGACCGGAUCUGUCCAAGUUUUUGCCUAAUGCCAACUGUAGGUGUGCACGCUGGUAGAUGAAGUACUUUUUUCUGACGUCAAUAUGCUGUGGUUAACAAUAAUUUCUUGAAUGGAAUUAGAUGUUCUGAUUUUGGCAUUUUAUUUCAGGUUCAUUGAGGAUUCGAAUAGAGAUAUUAGAUGGGGCUCUUCAAAGCUGGAGGAAUUGGGCUUUCACUACAAAUAUGACGCUGUGAUGACCCUAAAUGACUCCCUUCAGUAUUUCAAGGUUCCACUUCCACUGGAGAGUUCCUAAAACAUUACCAUAUAAGCAUGUUUCUGUUCAGUCAUUUCUAAUAAGGUUGAGAAAUCCCACCUCACAAGUAAGGUGAAUUUUAUGGUCCCUUUUGGAACCAUUUUAUCAAUUUGUAUCUCUCAUUAAAGAUAAAUAAUUUAAAUUUUAAACAUUAAAUAAUGUUUAAACUAAAGGUCAGUAAUACUUCUUUCACCAUCUAACGAUGAAUUUCACUUGCGGGUAUGAUACCAAAAGGGACCGUAGAAUCACCUUAAACCCUUUAUUGUGUCAAAUCUCAAUAGAUAAUAUAAUAAAAAUAUGUUGAAUCUGUGAAAAAGAUAAAUAAUGCCACUUUCAGAAGAAAUUCUUGAAGUGGACUGUCAUUCAAUAAUGUUGUUGAAAUGGUCAAAACAAUCUUGAUGAUUUUUAUAUUUUGUGGUUUAUUUAAUCACCAUACGUACUGACAGUCUGAUACUGGAUUGCAUGAAUUAAAGGUACAGACGAGUCUAGGGUCUUGCCUUUUUGCUUUCAAUUUUGCCUUCUACUCCUUUUUUAUUUUUAUUAUUUUUUCAGAAUCUGUUCCAUAGUUUUUGGGUCUGAUAACAUGAUGAUUUCAGCCGAUCAGCUUACUCAAGAUUCAUCUACCAAAUGGUUUAUUUUUCCAAAUCAAACAUUGAAACUCGAUUUAAUCUAUAAUUCUACGUACACAUCACCUGAAGGAAAAAGGUGACCAUACAUCAAUCAUCAUGAAAUACAGAAAUUACAAAUGAACACUCUAUCUUCUAUGAUCCAUGUCUUCCGAGAUCAAAUCAAAUCCUAAACUAGCCGGUGGCGGUGGGUACCAACAUGUACAUCUAUUAUAUUCUCGGACUACAACUAAAAACUGAUUUCACAGUUUAUUCAUCUCUCUUUCCGGCUUCCGGUGCGGAAGGAUCAAAACAGGUACAAACGGUAACAGAGCCAGCAUUUUAUGAUAAUAUAGACACGUUUUUUUUUUUAUUGAAUUGCUCAGGGGAUAAAUGGAUUUGAAAAUCAGUUGAAGUAGGCGAGGUCGUCAUCAAGUGUGAAACUUGUAUCAAAAUCCACUUGAUCAAUCGAGAAAUCAUGAUCACCAAACGGGGAACUGCUGAUGACUGAAGUUGGAGUUGAUAUCAUGUCAGUAAGAUCAGACUCUGAGGUCUGCAGGAUGUUGUCUAUACCGAAGUUGUUGUCCAUUUGGCAUGAUGAUGAGAAGUAGUUGGACUCGGACGUUGUCGGAGAUAAAAAUGUAGGCGAAUUGCUGCCCAUCAUGUCACAAUCCUUCAUUACAUCAGAGAAGAAUUGGCUUUCUAGAAUGUCUAAUCCCACUCCUUUAAAAGAGAAGGAAAAUGAGCGGAAAAUCUCUUCUUUAGUUUUCGAGACCUCCGUUUCAACUUUAAGGCCUUGUCCAAGAUGUUGUAGCGUCUGUUCUGCUCCCAUUUGAUUACCUCCUUCUCUUGCCAGUGAACGAGCUUUCUUUGGUUUAUGCAUUUCCUUUCCAUCUGAACGUAUUGCUGAACCUGAAUUGGCGGCUUGAAUGCAACUAUGCCUUCCUUUAUAGGUUACCUCAAAGACGGCCGGAUCCUCGUCCGACCUCUGGACUUGCUUGGUUGCCAAACAGCCUCUUGAGUUUCGAUGAGUGCAUCGAUAAUAUGCUCUGCAAUUGCAAUACCUCCUCCUGUUAGUCUAGUCACACUCUGAUCCAGUAAUAUUUAAGCUCACACAUUAUUGAAGCACGGAGCCAAGAGAUUCAAGUUCAAUUGAGACCAUUGAUAGAAGGCCGGCAUAAUUCAGACAACCUAGGAAAGUCAAUUUUCAUAGACAGUAGCUCCUAAAAGACAAAAGUCAGGAAACAUAUGGGCUUAUCAUUUAAUGUUCAGGAGCUACUUUGCCUGGUUACUGACUGUAUCUGUAAUCCAUGGGACCAUACCAUAUACUAGUGAAUUAAGCCACUUGAGAGUAACAAGUUGUUGGCCAUAAUAUAAAUGCUCCACCUGAAUUCUAGAUAAGCUUCAGUACAUCAAUCAGACCAUAGUACAUUACGGUUAGGAAGAUGUAAAACAGAUGAAUUCAUUCGAGUACUAUUAUUUAUUGGUUUUGCAAAUCAGUCGGCAGAAAAUAUGUAUAUCUAUUUGUUCCACUAUUAUUUAAGUAGUACUACUAUUAGUUUUGCAACUCAGGUCACAAUCCUGCAUCCAAUUAUGAACAGUUCUUAAAGCGGCUGUGCCUGAUCCCUUUCAAUCCUAACCGUCUAAAAUAUGCACACAAUUUUAACCUUUAAUUGUUACUGCUCCAUUAGUCAUCCAUGGAUUUGCUUCUGCCCAAAAGGGAUAUAUAUAGUAACAAGGAUGUUCCUACCUACGGAGGGAGUAUUUGUGGUUUUUGACAUUUUUGUCACUCCCAGGCAAUUGUGCAGUUCAUGAUGUCAUAGCACAACCAAGUAGUCUGGUCUAGAAUUAAUGCACAAGUGAAAAAGAGAAGGCCACUUUUCGGAUAAGACAGACUGAUCGUAUGAGGUUGCUGCUUACCUUGGAAAAUUAGCCCCUAAAAUAUCUUUCUGCCCAUAUUUUCUCCAGCUGUGUCCAUCAUCAACGUGACCUUCAAGACCACUUGCAGAGCAAACGCGAACGUUCUCACUCCACUUUGGCAAUGUCUUUCUGCAGACGAACAUAAGAAAACUGAGAUCGCUAUCGAAUUCAAAAUUUAAUGAAAGAAUCAAGAAAACAGAGAAUUACUGGAGCACAGUUGGGGGCUUGAAAUGUUUACCUCUUCCUGGAUGCAUCUUUGUUGCAUUCUUGAUCCUUUGAGAAACCACUGGAAUUUGAGCCCUCAGUUAUUGGGGUAGUGAGAACAGGGGAAUGAAAUAGAGGAGAUUCCUUUCUGCCGGUUUCUGGCAAAGUCUCUUCUUCCUUUAAGACCCUCCAAGUUAACAUGGCUAGUGCUUUAUCAUAUGUAGAAACUAUCUUCUCAACCAAUGCUUCGCAAGUCUCCGGAGAUGUUACCGGAUCAAGUUGUUUCCUGAGUUCAUUUGCCAUCUCCCUACCUUGACUUAGCUCAAUUAUUAGAUUCUUUUGCUCGCUCGGAUUAACUUUUUCCAUGUUUGGAUCUUCACAAACACUGGACAGGCCUAUGGUUCUGAUUUGGGACAAAAGCUGAAAAAUGGAUUUGAGCUGGAGUUCAGAUGGCGAUAAGCUUGAGGAGCGGUUCAGAUGGCAAAUGGAGAGCACAUCACUAGUUUAACUAAUACUACUGGAAGGACAAACAUGACAGUUUGAGAUGGAUAGCAGGAUAUGCCCAAUGGACAGGAGCAGAUAGAAGUUGCAGCCUAAUUUCUCAGUUUGAAGAAAGUGGUCUAUUUAGUGAUGUAAAGUGCUGGGAAAAGAGGAGAUAUAAAGAAGAAGAAAAGUAGUGGGAAAGGGGAUGGUGCUUGACUGAGGGGAAGGAAGCUUGAAAUUUUCUCGUAUAUAGUUGCUCUGGCAGCUAAACGGGUUGUGGGGGUUGGGGGGUUUAAAGAACAAAAAUUGAUAGGCAUUUAGGCAGUACACGUUUGAUUGUUUGAAAUGAAAUCCUAGGGUGAAUUCCCGUAAAACUUGCAUAGAAUAUGUUAGGCGGCCCAUAUUGUACUCAACUAGUAACUCUUGCAUUUUACGUGAGGAGGAAAUUCAUACAUUUUCAUCUUAAAUUCACAUAUAAAACAUUUUCUCGAUAUUAAUUGUACAAAUCAUCAAUGCAUCAAGGGUAUAGGUUUGGAAUGUUAGCAUAUUUUGCUUUAGCAAUAUCAGCAAUUUUGUUUUCAUACUCAGUCUGCAAUGAAAUAUUUCUCUCAUCAUAAAAAAAAAUUGUUAUUUGUACUUCCACCAUUUGUUUUAUCAUAUAAUCUAAUAAAUAAAAAUUAUAUAUCAUUAAAAUAAUAGUAAGAAUGUGAUUAACAAAAAUGAGAGUGUCAAUAACAUCUAUCGAAUCAUGUUCUAUUUGCACUUAUAAUAAGGGCAGCAUCUAAAGUCUAAAAUGAUUGGAAGAUCUUCCCUCCAUUCACACAAAUCACAAUCACAUUCCUCUAUCUAAUCAACUUGGAUUUGGGAGAGAGACCGAUUAUCGCCAUUAGAAUUUGGGUGAAUACAACUAACAUCGCCGCGUACAAUAAAAAAAAAAUUAAGUAUAUGUAGUUAAUUAAUCUAUUAACCGUAAACUAGUCUAUCAUUAUAUACAUUAUUGCUAUCUCUAUUCUUAGGAUGAACCUUGUCAUCAUAGGAUUCUACCAUCAAACGAAAUGUCUUUUCUACCCUACCUAUCGUAAACUUUCAUAGUUGUAUACUACUCCCUCCAUCCCAAUUAUUUUAUCAUGUUUCAUGAAUUUAACCUUUUAAAAUAGUGGUUUUGAUUGUGUUGUUUAUACUUCACUUUCCAAUUUUAAUCCCACAAAUUCAAAAUUUAAAUUUAAAUGGUAGCAUAUAUAUGAUUAAAGGGAGAAACUAAAAAGUGUUUUGACUUUUUUAACAUGACAAAUAUUUGGAAACAUCUCAAAAUACAAAGUAAAUACUUCCAACGGGAUGAAGGGAGUACUAAAUAUAUGCAAGGAGGACAGCCUCUCGUUAGAUAGAUUUUCUCUCUAGUUUUGGAAAUUAUGACAACAUCCCAUAUACUUUGGAAGCAAUUUAGCCAACAUUUGAAGUAUAGUUAAUAACCAAAAAAUGUUAGUGUGUUUGAAUAGAGUAUUAUUUGAAAUAUUAUUUGGAAUAAUUACUGUAGUACUUUUUGUAAUGUGAUGUAUAUGAAAUAAAAAGUAGUAUGAAAUAUAAAAAUGUGAAUUGAAAAAUUUUUUUAUGAUGCAAGCGAAAUAUUGUUUGGGAUAAUUUGGCAAUCCUUGAAAAUUCUGAGAACGCGGUGUAUAUACUUUUUACCAAUCACGUUGAGAGGAGGAUUUAAGUACACAAAUAGAUCCAAAAUUUAAUUGCUGACCAAUUCAAACGGGCCACAUAGAAACCGGGGGGCCGCGAAUCGCUUUCAAUAAUAAUAAUAUAUAUUUCCCUUUUUUGAUAUCUCCUCACGUCCAAUAUCCAAUAGGGAAAUUUCAAGGAAAUGAAGAAAAUCUUGGAAUGCACCACAGGUGAGUAAUAGAAAUUUUCAAUCCAGUUGUGAAGAAAACUAGAAAAAGGAGAUGGCAUUCAAAAAAGUUGAAAGUCAAAGAUGAAAGUUUAAGACAGGGAGCCCGCCGCGGGAGGGGGGGGGGGUGGGUGGACAGGGGAGGCUACAGCGAGGAGUGCAGGCCAAGGAAAAGAUGACGAGAGAUCCGAGAAUCUUCUCACUCGCUUCCGCGUUGAUGCCCCAAUUUUUUAUUAUUAUUAUUUUCAUUAGUUAAUUGUUUUCAUCAUGCAAUGACGUAUAACAGGUGGCGUCACCAAACAAACAACGGAUAAUUUGAGAAACCUCCCUUGAGGUUUCUCAUAAUUUCACUUGGCUCCUUUAUGGUUUCAAAAAUUACACUACCUCCCUUGAUAAUAUUUUAAUAAAACUCCUUUGUUGCCAUGUUUAUACAAAGAAUGAAUUUUAUAAUUUUUCUUCCUUUUUUUUCCUUAUUCAUUUCUCUAAUAUUUCAUUAGAAGUAUAUAAGAACUAUCAAUGUUAUCCACGAUAUCUAUAUAGAUUAAACGUUAAACUAGUAACAUUUUUUCUUUGAUAACUUUUAAUAACAUCCAACUUUUUAGUAGCUCUUUUUUUGUAUUAUAAUUAAAAAUAAAUGACCCAAAAUCACUACCAAACUAUGAUAGUUCCAUCACUAAACUAGUCCAUAAACUUUUAUUACAAAAAAAAAGUCCAUAAAGUUAAAAAAAAAAGAUAGCACUUCUUUAUAUAUCUUAAAAAAGAAUCAAUGUCUCCAAUAAAGCACUAUAAAAAAAAUAGUUUAUUAUAACAAAAGAUUUAUUUUUAUAGUUAAUUAUCAAAUAACAAAUAAUGACAUGAAAAACUUGAAACCUUUUUUUUUUUACAUUUAUAUAUAUAUAAUUAUGCUAAAUUACUUUACAAUUGUUUAGGAGAACAAGAUAAACUUUAUAAGAUAAGGACAUUUUAGGAUAUUUAUUAAAUUUUUGACCCUAUUUUAAGAUUCGAUUACCAAAAUAUCAAAUCAAGAGAGGUAAAUGUAAUUUUUUAAACUUUAAGAGGACUUAAAAGUGAAUUAGUCAGAAACCAUUCCGAAAUUAUCCCAACAAACAAUCACCCCCUUGCUUACGCGGAUGCCUCCUAAAGCUAAGAGCCAGAAUAAAACAAUGAAGAAAAGGCCAAACAAAUGAUUCCACACGGCUGACAACGAUUGUGCUAAUUUAAUUAUUAUUACGACCAUACUCCUAAUUCCUAUUCGAGGUUUCAAACUUCCACUCGGAUUAUGCAUCCUAUAUCAUGUUCCAUCAAUUAUGACCACAACAACCGAAUGCAUGAAUCAAAGAAGGCAUCGAAAUUCAAAAAAGGGAUUCUUUUUUGUCUGGUUGGUUCGCUGAUUAACGAACGCCCCCAAAUUUGGAUAAACAACGCCACCCCCCAAACUUUUUUCCCAGGGACAAAAAGUCAUCCAGCGAGCAAGGAUAGCAAAAAGGUUAGCCCUUUUCAUUUAAUUUUUUUUUUUAAAAAAAAAAAAAAGAAAAAAAGAACGUUGGCCAUUGUCCCUUGAGAAGGGACACCUGUAGGCUCGCAAUUGCAAAUAUUAAAAUAGAGAAGGCCAGUUGAUGCUAGUAGGCUCGCAAUCGGCAACCGUAGACUCUCAAAUAAAUCAUCCAAAUAAACUCCUAUCCAAACAAAUUUCUAUUUUGACGCUGGUCUUUCAACUGUAGUCCAAAAAUCUCUUCUUCUCAGUCUCAAAUAUUCUAGGAUGUGCACCCACCGGCUUGAAGCUCAAAUGUUAAAAAUUUUGUGCUUUUAUCAAUUUGUGAGGGGCAAUUUGCGUAUCCGGGACUCGAUGAUACAGGGGGUUUAAUUGAUUGGCUGUGGCUUUUUCUCUGCUUUACUACUGGUUGAGAGAACAUAUAAAAUGAUUUUCUCAAAAAAAAAGAAAAAGAAAUUAACCAAGAAUGGAUGGAUGGCAACGUCAUCACGUGAUGAAUGGAGUGGCAUCACUUCUUAGCUCACAGCGAUGUUUUAUUUUUAAACUGUAAUUUGGCAUAUUUUGGUUGGUGAGUGAAACUGGAAGGGACUUGUGAGCUCAUCUUAUCUGCUAGACAGAAAAGUGGAAAUUUGAGUGAUCAAGAUUCUUGUCCUCCAUCAUUUUUCAACAUGUCUAUAGUUGUAGUAUUGUACAAGUCUUCUUAUUCAUGACAAUUUGUUUUUUUUUUUUUUUUGUUUUAUUGAGUGUGUUUGAUUUAUGUCGCUACUCUAAUGGUAGGUUAAACGUACACUAAAAAAUAACUGAUUUGCAAUUUAAUAGAUAUAAUGGAUGUGAAAAUUUAUGAAUAGACCCUAGAAGAUACAAGAAAAUUCAAGAUUGUUUUCUAACAUAAAUCUCUAUAGUUCCUUUCUGUGCAUGUUGAAAUUGCCAGAUCUGCUAAUCAACGGUUUUAAACUCUAAAAAUCUAUCAACAUAGACCCAAGAUCCAAACAAAUUCCAAAUAUAACGAUCAGAUCUAAAAUAAAUUUAAAUCUAACAACAAAAUAAGAAAAAGCAACACAAAAAUCUCACUAGGAACUCUUAGGACGAUAAAAAAACCUGAACACUUGGAAGAAGUCUUUGUGAAAAAAUCUUUAGGAGAGACUUUAUUGGUGAAGAGGAAAAGAAGUAGAGAGAAAUUGGAGAGAGAGAGAGAGCAAGUCCCCAGAAAUGAGUUUCAAACUAAUUAUUGUUUCUAGACAAUAAGCAGGGAGAAAAAUAAUCAGCCAAAUAUACCCAAGAGAUCUUGGAUAACAAUAAUAAUAAAGCAAGCAUGCAUGAUUUGGACUAUUUCCCUCCUAACUUCCAAGAAAAAGCCCUGCUAUGCUGAGGAAAGCGAAGCAUCGAAGUGAAUGUGAAGUUCACGUCCAAAAAAAGAGCCAAUACCUGUGCCAUUUCGCUUCUAGAUGCAAAAGGAGGCCGGCCACCCUUGGCUUUAUGUGAGAGCGUUAAACGUGUGGGACAUUUUUAAGAGUCCUACUACUGUGCCUUUCUCGCCUGAAAGCUUGAAUUGAAGGUCUGCGGUGUACAAUGCACAUCCCCCCCUCAGUAUUUUACCCGGUCAAAAUUUGGGUUUGGGACAUCAAUCCAAAUUCUUCAUCAUUUACUUUGAAUCUUCAUCGUAUUCUCUGUCCGUUUCACACGGUUUAUCAACCUUUCACACGUGCUAAGACUCCUCUGGUGCUCCAAAACGAACGUACGUAGAUUGGAUACAUACUUUAGAUUGUGAUCAGUGCCCCGCUGCUGAGCGUAAUGGCAUUCUUAAUUACUUUGAAAUUCUUUUUCGACAGACGGAGUAAAAAAGAGUAGCUAAUUAAUGAAACUCUUCUAUGAACUGGAUCCAGAUGUCAGUUCAGCAGAAAGAAUAAUUAGAACAGCAUCAACAUUUAUUUAGCAACCAACCAGCCAAUUGGUCCAAAUAUUAAUAUUAUACUAGUAUAAGGAUUUUUCUAACAAGUUAGUAGUGCUUAAUAAAACACUCGUUGACGCACCUACGUUACACUCAAACACACAAUAUGUUAUGUGAAUGCACAUAACAAUAAUUCGGUCUGCCUAACAGGUGCCUAUACGACACUCGAUAUAUUUCAUUUCAGGUGUUAUAUUUUUUGGAAAUAUAGAAUUAAUUAGAAAAAAGUAUAUAAAUACAAGAGAGGAUGAGCAAGACUAAAUAGGGAAAGUAUAUCAAUGUAAAGGAUGAUAAUAAUUCAGUACUUAUUAGUAUGUGUAUAUGUAUGGUAAGUUAGGUGAAUGUUAACGGGUGCUCUCGUUAGAAAAACCCUCUUAAUAAUUAUCACAUUCCCUUACAGUCAUAUGCUUUUUCUAAUUAAUUUUAUGUUUCUAAAAAAACAAUGCUUGAACCCCUAUUUAUAUUAAUACGCGAAAUUAAAUGUUAUGAAUCCGAUAUUUGCCAUCUGCAUAUCACCCUAUUUAUAAUCUUACAUAUAUAAUAUGGGAAACUAAUUAAUGUCAUUUGCCAUCUAUAGAUCAUUGGAAAUCAAAUUAGGACCAAGUGUGAUUUGAUAAGCAAGUGACCUUUUUUUUUUUUAUCAGCAUGAUGAUCUCUGGUUGAUUAUUAAUUGGAUGAAAAGGUCAGUGGUAUUAACAUUUCGUCGUAUGUGGCAAUUAAAAGUGGCAAUACUAAGCUAUUGGUACAGAUGCCAUGGACGCAUGACCAAGUCAUCAUUAAUUUUUGUUUUCUUUUACCUAAGACCAGCAAAAAAAAAAAAAAAUUAUUUUAAAAAAAAAGUACUAGCAAAAUGGUCGUCAUUAAUUUUUUAUUUUUUGAGUUUUUGGGUGUGUUUUGAGGACAUGUAACGAAAAUCAUCUCAAAAUCAAAACUCGUACAUCAUCUCAUAUUAAACCAAACCGCGUUGUGUUGUAAUGGGUGUGGGUGCAGUGCAGGACUUGGUCAAUGCCAAUCCUCAAAUCCAAUUUUUCGUUUAUAGAUUCAUUUUUCAGUGAAACGUGAUUUUGAGGCUUGUCCUAUCCGACAUCGACAUCGCAAUUUUCAAGUCUUCCCAGUCAAAAGAACACAUACCAAUUACCAUCCCUCCAAAUUCCAAAAUGAUCUCUAUUACUGAUUCAAAUGCAGUAACUUUUUUUUUUUUUUUUUUAUUAAUGACAAACCCUGUACACAGGGUAGGGGAUGCCAGAAAUGCAUUAACAACAACGUUAGCCAACAAAUACUCUGCAAUUACAGAGUUAACCGCCCUUGCUUAAAGUUCCUUUAAAUCCAGCUCAAUCUUCAGCUUCAAGUGGCUUUUUGUACAAAUGGCUUUUUGCCCGUGCCUUGCCAGAGUAAUUAAUGUUCCAAUUGAACUUCCUGCAGUUAUUUCAGUUAACCGCCCUUCAACUUUUAAAAAUCUUCUGAAAUUGUCUUUUGUUUUUCUUUUCUGAGGAAAACAAACUUCCAAAUUUAACCGUAGUUUUCUUCUUCUUUUAUUUAAAACCAAAAAGAAAAAAAAAAGUUAGACUAAUUCACAAUUUUCGGCAUUGAAGUCUUAGAGGAGAGAUAAUAAUUGACAGAUUUUCUUUUCUCCAACAUAUAAUAGUAUUCUUCCAAAAAGAAAACGUAAAGCCCACUGGGCUUCGGUUGGAUCAAAUAUUCAGACUGGGUAGCCAGCGUACAACGCCUAAAGGAUAAAUUAGCGUUCAGGUCAUGACCUUCUCCACUGGUAUCUAAGAACUAGGCCCACUUUUACACUUGACGAGAACCAUGAAAUUAUACUCCUUAAAGUUUAUUAAUUGUUAAUUGAUUUAUAGUACUUUGUCAUUCAUUGGAUAUGUAGCACAAAGGGCAAAUCUGGUACAAAAUUCUAAUUUCAGUUCCUAAAAUAAUAUUUUAAUCGUUUGGACUAAAUUUGCAAAAGAUUAGUAACCUCAGGGGAGGUCAGUGUAAUUUUUCAAACCACAGGGGAGCUCAGUGCAAUUAUCCCUAAGUAAUAAUUACUAAUUAGUGAAAGUGACUUGAGUGUACGACAGUUUAAUCGAGUCGAGUCGAGCUCGAGUAGUGCUAUACUCGAGCUCGACUCGACUCAUAUAUCCAUAGGCUCGAGCUCGGCUCGAGCUCGAUCGAGUAAAAAAAUUGAUACUCGAAACUCGACUCGAUGUACUCGCGAGUAGCUCGAAACUCGACUCGAUAGGCUCGAUAACGAAGGGUAUUUUGUAAAUUCCAUAUAACUUAUACCCAUAAUGGUCAUUUUAUAAUUAUAAUAUAUAUAUAUUAUUUAAAUUAUAAAUAUAUUAUUUAAAUAACCCCGGCUCGACGAGUAGCUCGACGAGCCUCGAGCCGGGGAUUUUUGACUCGAAACUCGACUCGAUUUUCACUCAAGCUACUCGAAACUCGGCUCGAACUCGGUCAACCCGAGUUCGAGCCAAGUCGUUGACCAAGCUACUCGCGAGUAGCUCGCGAACACCCCUAGUUUGGAUGAGCUGCCUAGAUUCCAACAACUUUUGACCUUGUGUGAUGUUUCAAAAUCUGUUUAAUUGAACAAACUAUCAUUGAUGGUUCAUCUCAAUCGUAGGGAAAAUAGAGGCGGUUUAAAUUGCGAAUUUUUUCGGAAAAAAAGUUUUUUGAAUAUUUUCUUGACACGUUUUUAAAUUAUUUUAUUUUAACCUCACAUACAUCACAUCAUUAUAAUAUAAUUUCAUCAUAAACGUACUCUAAAAGCAUUUCCCAAGGCAAAAUCAAUAUGCCCAAACUAUACCAUAUUUGUUUUAAAAAUAGUGGUAUGUUUGGAUGGGAGGUUAUUUGAAAUAAUUACUGUAAUACUUUUUAUGAUGUGAUAUAUGUGAGAUAAAAAGAUGGUUAGAAAUUAUAUGUACGCUGCAAAUAAAAUAAAAUUUGAAUUUUUUAUUCGAAAAUAUUGCAAUCCAAACACACAACAGAAACGUGAAUUAGAAAAUCUAGUUCAACCUUGAAUAUGUAACUCAAGGUAACCCACGCUGAAUUAAGAUUGGAGAGUCCCAACACUCCCCUACUUCAUACAUCACACUGGAGCAUUAUCUAAUUGAACAAAAGGCCAAAUAAAUCCCAACAUCAAACUGAUGAACUGAUAAUUUUGGAAUGGUCUUUUGGCUCCUCUCGUUGUUUGUUUGCAAAACCUUCAGAGUGUUUCAUCAACCAAAAUCUCUCUAUUUCCUCAGGUUUACGGCCUGGAAUUCUCCCAGCUAUCAAUGCCCACCUGCAAUAUUAAUUCUCAACCAUCUUCCCUCUAAACUAAAGGAGUAAUCAGAAUUGAAGGCAAGGGAAAAAAAAUUCAGGCUGGAAAAUGAUACCCACCUAAGAAAAGUUCAGCAAGUACAGUGUAUUAUCCACCACACAGGGUCAAAGUUUUUUUUUUUUUUUUUUCCGCCUCCACGUUUAACCCCUCACGAAUAGGGGGUUUUUCCAGAAAAAGGAAAGAAAGGAAGGAAAAAUGGUACAAAAUUUGUUGCCAGUCCAAAUUGUACUUGUUUUGCCACAGCAUGGACUUGUUCACAACGCAUAUACUGCUCUGAUACUUUCUUUCUCCACAUUCAACAUGUAUAUCGUCAAGACAUAACAGAUUAUUGAAGAAAUUGGAGAUUACUACGGGGAAAAAAAAUUCAUGUAAUGCACGUUAAAUAUUAUUGUUCUAAAAUAUGUUCGACAAACAACCUAGUGCAGGCCAUUAAUGUUUAAGUGAAUAUAAUAGUAUAGCAAAUUUUGUUGAGUUGGUUACCUGUCUCCGACCAGCUUGUGCAUUCUGUAGAUGAGGUCUUCUUCCUGUUCAGUCAUGUUGAUGAAGUCCCACGCAAUACUGCUCACCUCUGUGUUAAAGUACCAAAUUACCGGUCUUAUAUAAAAAUGGACCAAAAAAAAUGAUGAAGAAAAGUAGGGAAUGAAAACUUGAAUUGACAGAGCAUAACCUUUUUUUUUUUUCGGAAACGAUAAACCUAAUCUAUCCUAUACUAAGGGGAAGGGGCAGACCUAAGGAGGUACAGAGAUAAAUCCGGAAGGGACUGAACCACCACCGGACCAGACGGGUACACAGCACACCCGCCUGAAUUUUUUUGGAAAUAAGCCACCUAAAUGUGACAUUUUUGGUGAGAGGCAAACCCCACCAACUAGGUGGUGGCCACUGAGCCAAUGGCCCAGUGGUUACAGAGCAUAACCAAAGUGGUUAAAAUUGGAAUUCGGACCAACCUUCGUACGAGCAAGAUUUGACGAUUUUCCGCUGCUUUGCCCGACCAUCAUCCAUUGUCGAGAACUAAGAGAGAAUAUCAAGAAAGAAGAUGUGUGGAUGCCUGAUGCGGACUUUGAAGCACGAGAGGCUUUUUUUUUUUUUCCCUUGGGUUAAGUUGCGGCAGUUUACUAACUAGCAAGCGCGGGAGAUCAAAUGUGCAUAGUUGGUUCAAUUCACAGGAGCGGAUCACUUCUUUUUUAUAGGAUCAUAUGAUGUGGGAGUUGUGUUGAUAAAUAAUAUGUAAAUAUCUCUUCAAGUAAAUUAAUAGUUUUGAAGGCAUAGACCUGGACCUAUGAUUUUAGAGACGUGCUUUGAUCCGUGAGAAUAACCGGAAUCAAAAUCACUCAAAAUUUUACUUUAUCUAAGGAAAAAAAUUUAAUAAAUGCAUAGCAAUAUACCGACAGAAUUCAUAAAGGCUACCUCCAACUCCAAGCCCUUAAUUUCUAAUUGGUUGUAUACGUAUAUACAUACGUGCAGGGUAUUCAUAUAUGUCAAGACACAACAUGGGACCCGUAAGGCGUCCCAAGUCACAGACAGCAUCGUCCGCAGCGGGGGCACGAUAAGGGAUGGCAUUAUCAAACGGACAGACAAAUGCUUGGGAUCCAAACCAAUCGAGCCACUCGCUGAUUAUAUCAAUUUCACUAGUCUCCUCUAAAGUUUGAUAACAAAAUUAGUCCAAUUAGAAAAAAUAACAUUAAAAAAUGUUUUAAGAAGAGAGAUUAAACUUUUAUUCAAUAACUACUCCUUAUGCGUGUAUAUAAGUUGUAUUAGUAAAAAAAUAAAAAUAAUUAAUACGCAUAUUUCAUCUUUCAAAAAAUUCAUAUUUAAUAAAUUAGACAAUACAAAUAAAUAACAAAACUGCAUUAAUGAUUACAAGAUCUAGCAAAACAGACUAAUCAUCUUUUUUCAUAUGAUGUUUGCUAUGAUUCUUGUGAUUUUGAACAGAAAAAUUUUCUAAUUUUGCCUUUUUCUUCCUCCUUCCUCCAUUAGGUAAAUUUUUUUGAAUAUAUAUCUAAUGGAGGAAAGAGGGAAAAGAAAGGUAAAAUUCAAAUUUUGAUGUUCAAAAUCACAAGAAUCAUAACAAAACAUUAUGUCAAAAGAGAUGACUAAUCUGUUUUUUUUAAUCUUGUGAUCAUUAGUAUAGUUUUGUUGCUUAUUUAUGUUGUUUAAUUUAUUAAAUGUGAACUUUUUGAGCGGUGAAAUGUGUAUACUUAUUGUUUCUAAUUUUUAAUUAUUUUACUACUACAAUUUAUAUACAUGCAUAAAGGGUAUUUAUAGAAUAAAAGUUUCGUUUCUCUUUUUAAAGUACAUUUUAAUGUUAUUUUUUGGACUAAUUUUAUUAUCAAAAUCUUAACCUCGAGGGAGAUUUAUGUAAUAUUGUAAAUUUCAAGAAAGACUAGUGAAUUUGUUAGAAACCUCAGAGGAGGUUUCUGAAAUUAUCCCAACAUAAAUUGAUAUGGCUCUCAAAAUUUACGGAAACUCAAACCCUCAUGACUAUUAUCCACCUCAUUGGUUCCUUUAUAUACGUGCGUGUGUGUGUGUGUGUGGUUGGCUGAAAAAAUCUCGUUGGAUGUGCGAUCUUUUUAAUUAGGAUAAUGGUUAUUUUAUGGUAGCUGGUAACCAAUCCACAGUUUUAAAAUUUAUUAGACUAAUAGAACUUAUUUAAACAAUUAGGAUAUGAUGUUUAAUUUAAAAAAACUGCAAUUAUCCGAACUUACCUGCAUAUGUAUAGAGUUGGUUACAAUGACUAAUUCUUGUAUCUAUAAUUAUUAGUUAUAUGAUACUAAAUUCAGUUAGGAGACCCAUUAUACAUCUAUCAUUUUUUCCACAAAUUUUGAACUUCACUCAUUAAUCCUAACUCCCUUCUACCAUUUCCAAACCGUUCAUUCAUCGCCACUAACUCAUGCGCUUUACUAUUAUGUUGUUCCUUUCUUUUGUUGUAUACAAUUAAUUUCCUUAUAAAAGCAUAUUAUUAGUAUCUAUAUUACCAUAUGAUUAAAAUUAUUUUUGAAUAACAAUCAUAAAAGUAUUAAGUUUUCUUUUAACCAAAUUUCUUAUAAUAAACCAAUUCUUAGUUUCUUUAAUUACUAUAACUUUAAAAUAGCAACUAAGGUGACAUUAUAUAUGUUACAUAUGAAAUCAAAGACAAAGAAAACCAAAAAAAAAAAAAAAGAAACUGCCAUAAAAAUUGAAAAAAAUUUCAACCUUGAUUUUGAAUAUCUCACACUGAUAAUAAAUAAAACGGCAUAGAGUUUAAUUUUCAUAUUUUUCUAAUUUGGAUAUGUUUUGUAUUGUUUUCAAUGUUAAUUUAAUUAUAUUUUUUCAUUUUUAAUCUCAGUGUUGGAUAACUCUAUGUCCCUGAUCCUAUUCCAUAACUUUAGAAUAUGGAAUAAAAUUUUUGCUAUUAGUAUCUACGAAAUUAUAAGGAGACUGGUUACUUGGUCCAUGAACACUUCUACUCGAGCCUUCUACAUUGUACAAAUAUUAUUACUAUAUUAAUUACUAAAUAAAAAGUAAUUAAUUACUACAUUGUACGAAUAUUAUUACUAUAUUAAUCACUAUAAAUAUCAUGUAUACAUCACAAAAGCUAUUCAUGAACAAGACCUUUACUAUAUUGAUACCUUUUUCUAAUUACUCUUUUUUUUGAAUAGCUCCUACCCCUCUUUGUACUUUUUCAACCCUCAACUGUCAGAUUCAGAAUUCGAACCUUGAAUUUAGAAACUAUAAGAGUCAUUCCGUAAGACACUGGACCUUCUCUAAUUACUCAUUUCUGAGAACUCUCUAAUUUCAAAAACUGAUUUAAUCAUCGGAGUGAUUCUUGGGACUUGACUUAUAUGUGUUGGUAGUUCAUUCUUUUAUGUAGGUCAUAUCCAUCCAAGUCGAGCUAUCUUAGCCCAACUUAGUUCAGUUUGGCACUAUUAUUUAAGGGUGCAUUUGAUAAAUUUGAAGUAUGAAAACUGAAAUAUGAAAUUUGAAUCCAUAAGCUAUUAAAUUGUUAAGUAUUAAAUUUAAUACAUUUGAGUGUACAUGACAUUCAGUGAUAAGUGAAUAGUUUAUCACUUAUUUCGAGAGCAAGUUUUAUCUAAAAAAAUCUAAUGCCGUUUAAUUAAUUUAGAUAUUCAAUUUUUAGUUAUCAAACGCAUCGGAACAUAUUAAGAUCUGAAUCCAUUAAAUUUAAAUGCUGAAUUGGAUUAUCAUAUAGGAUCUAAGUGUUUUUAUAGCUCUCUUAGUUUAAUUUUUUUAUAACACGUGCAACUCAUUUCAAAAUAAUAUUAAAAACUCAUUUUAGAAGAGAGAAUAUAAUCUCAUUCCAAAUAUUUCAAAUUUGCCAUUUUAUUGUCUUAGUUUGUAGUACAAGAACGUGAUAGAACUAUAGGAGGAGGAGGAGGAUCAUAUUAUUAAUAAUCAGGGACUUUGAAACUUCUUCUUCUUUUUUUUUUUAAAGCACAGUUAUCUUUUUGAAACGUUGUUCUUCAUUUGCAUUUCAAUUCUUGACAAAUUUUGUUCAAAAAGAUGGAUGCAAGCUCACCUGGAAAAAUCGUCGAUCAAUGACACGUAUAUGCGAGUUCAGGACAUAGUACCUUGUAACGACAAAAUACAAGUCAACGUCAUAAUUUACUAGCAUAUUGUAUCAGAUUGAAUUUUCCGUAAACUAUUCCUACCGAAUGACUGACAGAGCUGCAUCCCCUGUGGGGUUUCUAUCCCACAUCGGUUCGGGGGGGUUUGGGGUUUGGGUUUAUUAAGGUCUGCGGGAGCCUUCAAAAGUUGCCGGCUUUUGAAGGUUUCUCGCAGGUCAACUUUAGUAACGAAAAAGUCUGAGUUUCUCAGUCAUCGGAAAAAGACAGAAACCUCGGGGAGGUGAUCUCUCCAUUUCAGUGGGUGUCUGGGGGGUCUUUACUUCUUAGCAGCGGGGGCACCCCUGUGGGGUUUCUAUCCCACAUCGGUUCGGGGGGGUUUGGGGUUUGGGUUUAUUAAGGUCUGCGGGAGCCUUCAAAAGUUGCCGGCUUUUGAAGGUUUCUCGCAGGUCAACUUUAGUAACGAAAAAGUCUGAGUUUCUCAGUCAUCGGAAAAAGACUGACAGAGCUGCAUAAGACACAUUCCAAUUUCAGGCUACUACGCAAGUAGCCAGAAAAUCAAAGGUGCCGGGUAACCACUAGGCCAAUGGCUCAGUGACCACCAGGGAGGGACUUAAGUUCCUCCUUGGACUGUUGGUGAGAGUUCAAACCUCAUCAGUAGUAAAAAAAAUUUAAGGGUUGUGUCAUAGCACUCUCUUGAUCUAAUUGGAUCUGUAUACCCACUAGCCCUUAUUACAGCCUCCUUAGGCUCCCCCUAGAUUAUGAUAGAGUAGGUUAUACAAAUGUAUUUUUGCUGACAAAAAAAAAUAAAAAUCAAAGGUGCAAGGUGGCUUUGUGGGUGGGGGGAGGGGGGCCCACAGUCUCCCUACUAGGGGGGGUGGGAGGGUGCGGUCCUGAUUCUUGACUGCGAGGGAUAAUGCCAAGAGCAGCUUGGUGUGCCGCAUUCUUGAUUUUUGGAAAGAGUAGGGAAGAGAAGGUUUAUUUAUUAAAUUAAUUUUAUAUGCACUCACGAACAUGAAUAUAUGUUAUUAUCUCAAUAUGAAUUUCAACUUCAAUUCUUAUACAUAUAACAUCCAUUCAUAUUGCCAAUAUAUAUAUAUAUAUAUCUGUAUAUGCUAUAAGUAUAUAUAGGAUUAAUUCUUAUUUAAAUCAAAAUUUGCUUCCAUUCACAAUAUAUAAGUUAGUGUUUACGCUCUAUUUACCUCUUAUAAAUAAUUUAGAUGUAGAAGAGCAUUCUCACCGAAAGAAUUGUUAUUCGUACCAUUAAGUGUAGCCAAGAUGACAUAUCACUCGUACUUAUUCCAUUUGUUAGAAGAUGACAUAUCACCCGUAUUGGCUCGAUGGAAAAACGAACCUCCAUGCUCAAGCUGAUACAACCAUUAGCCUUAGGCAAGUGGCCACCACCAAGCCAUAUUCAAACUUUACCUCCCAUCAAUUUGUCAUAUUUGUGGUUCUUCAAAAAAUUCAGACGGGUGAUCCGGUGGUGGUUCUGUCUCCAUCGAUCUCCCAUAGAUCCAGUUGGAUCUCCCCCUAAUUAGAUUAGGAUAGAAUAGGAGUAGGAGUAGAGAUGACGAUUGAAGAAAAAAUAAAAAUGCUCAAGCUGAUACCAUCAUCAUCAUCACAUACACACAUACGUGUAUAUAUACGUGUGUGUGUAUAUAUAUACACACAUGGGCCCAUGUGUACACGCACAUGGGCACCUACUUUCAAGUUUCCAGUAGGAAGCAAAAAAAUGAGGACAGAGGGAAAAACGAAAAAAAAGGGACCAAUGAAGCCUACUUUUCGGCUGGUGCUUGCGAUGUACUUAUCUCCGGACCCUUGCCAUUCUGGACCAAACUACACGGGUUAGGAUUACCCUACCGUAUGAUGCAACAUGUAACACUUGUGAUACCGAAAGUGUUUGAGUUAAUUUCAUUUUGUCCCCUCAAAAAACUAUAAGUCAAAUUUCACUUCAGUCUCUGAAUUUUAUAAUGAAACACUUAAGUCCCUAAACUAUAAGAUGUGUUCCAGUUAAGUAAAUUCGGUAACGGGAUAAAAAAAAUUGAUGGUGUAUUAAGAGUGUGAACAGCACCUUCGUGUAGCAUGAUUGUGCAAGUGUUACAAACCAAAAAAAUAGGGACAUAAAAGUAAUUUCAUCUUUUGUAAGUGUUAUAAACCAAAAAAGGGACAUAAAAGUAAUUUCCUUUUUUUUUGGUCUUUUCCUUCUUCAUCAUUCUUUUUUUUUUUGUUUUUUCCUUUUCUUCUUCUUUCAUCUUGCCCUUUUCUCAACUUUUCCGGCCAAUAUCAAGAAAAAAAGGAUGGAGUUCACUGAAAAGAACCCAACCAAUUGAUGCAAUAGGCAACCUCCUAUCCUUUCCCCCUAUAGUUGUCAUUGACUCUCCAAUUUUUUCUUCCCUAAGUAGCAUUAUCACCAACAGCAGUAGCUUCUUCAUUGGAUCUGAACUGCUGCCGAAGUUUGACCCGAUCCAAGUGGUGCAAGUGUUCGUUUGGAUUACUGGCGGCGAAGUUGGAGCAGCGAGUUCACUAGCUCCCAAAAUCGGCCCGCUCAGUCUCUUCCCCAAGAAAAUUGGGGAAAAGAAACUACAAAGGAUUGGAAAAGGCCUCUAGGUCAUCUUUAUGCUCAUCGCCCAAAAUCGUCAGGCCAAAAAAGAAAAUUUCAAGUAGAAUGCAUAAUUUAGACUACAAAAUUGGGGAUGUGAACUAAAUUGUCUAAAAGAUGAAAACAAAUUGAAGGUGUACUUGGUUGAGAUUUCGAAAUUGAUAUCACAAUUGGAUUCAAAUACAGAAGGUUAGUAUGCUUUAGUAAAGGGGGAAAAAAUAUGGGAAUUGCUAUCCAAUAAGUUUCUUGCCUUUUCUUUCAGUAUUCUUUCACUCAAUAAAACCUUCAAGGCCACUGUAACCUCCAUGGAAGAUCCCAUACCAACAGAUCCAAAAACAAAUUUCAAGCUUCAAGUUGAAAUUUUUUUUAACUUCUUGAUGCAUGUUUUAUCCCUGGAAUCUUUGAUAUUGAAAAGAAACAUAGAAAAGUAGGAAAUUCGAUGAUGGCUAAAGCGGACAGAGAUCAGCCAUUAUCAAAAAGAGGGGAGAGUCAAUAUUAAGAAUGGAUUAAUGGUGAUGGGUUUUGGUGACCAGCAAAAUGCGGGGGCGGAAAAGGGAUUGGAAAUAGUGGGGUGGCGGGGGUUGGAAGGGGAGAGGUUAGAGAGUGACAGCGGUGGAAGCUGGGGUGGUAGAGGUGGGGAUGCGACUGGGAAGGAUGGGGAAGACGAAGAAUAAGGACAAAAAAAAAAAAAGAAAAAUGGAAGGACAAAGAAGAAGGAAUUAAAAAAAGGUAAAAUCAUCUUAUGCCCCUAUUCUUUUGGUUUAUAUAGUUACACAAUCACACAUUAAUGGAGUGUGUUCUUCACACUCCUAAUACACCAUUAAUUUUUUGAAUUCCAUCAUUGAUUUUGCUUAAUUGGAACACAUUCUAUAGUUUAGAAAUUUAAGUGUCCCAUUUUAAAAUUCAAGAAUUAAAGUAGAAUUUCAUGUAUAAUUUGGAGGGACAAAAUGAAAUUAACCCAAAAGUGAAUUGACUGAUGCUCUUUGUCAGAGAUUGGAAGACGAGGCAAACUUAGAAACAUAAUAGUUCAUCAUCUCAUCGGUGAGCUGCGUCCGAGAUUGUGAAUUUAUUGAUGCUCUUCGCCCCAAUUUAAACAAGAGAAAGGGCCAAAAUGUGAAACAAAAAUCAAAACGCCGACUCCCAGCUAAAACAGAUACAAGCCAUUGCUUACCCCAAUUUCUGCUCGCACACAAGAAGACCUUAGCAAUCCAAGAAUAUCUGUUCAAAAAAGGUAGCAAGGCAACCUUCAAAGAAAUGCGGACACGAGUGGUAUUUUAAAAGGGGAAAAAAAUUGAUUCUCAUGUUCACACCCACUUUAAUGUUUGUUUAGGCUUAUAGGAAAGAUGCUUGCUAAGGCUCUUUACUCCAUGGGGAGUUUUCGCGGGCUUGCCUCUGCCCCAUUUGUCUGUGUGACAAAUUACACACGUUGAGGAUAGAAAAUCAGCUAAUAGCAUUCAAAGGAGAAACAAAGCUGAUGUGCAAAUGUUUUACCCUUUUCCAAGUCUAUAGCUAAAAAAAAUGUCUAGAUGUAUACACUAGAGGAGUAUCGUGCUCGAAGAUGGUAAGUAGGGCGAAAUAAAGGACAUCAGACCAAAAACUCAUCUCGUCCACCUUGUUUCUGCAAAAAGCAGACAGGUUAGUUGACCCAAUCUACAAGAUGACUGACAAUUUUGUAUGGUAUGUAUCAGCAACAUAAGCUACAAAGCCGUCUUCACCACAGAUGACAAUUUUCAUUCUAUACUUGGCUACUCAAUUUUCAGAUUACCUACAGCUGAAGAAGUGUAUCUAAAUACAAAAUAAAAAGAAGUCAUAGCUUACAAUCUGCACAACAGUGACAACAAAGCUUCUAAAGCCUCUGAUACAGGCAAAUGAAUAAUCCAGUAAUUGGCCAUUAAACAUUGGGCAGCAUUGCAAAUGGGAUGCUUCUCACCAAGGUUGGCCCUUUCCUCCAAGACGUCGUGCCAAUUCCCAAUCUUUUUUCACUGAGUGGCAAGAAGCAAAAGAAGAUUCAAUAUUCUUCAAAUACGAGAACCAAAAUUAUCAGCAUCAAUGUCCAAAGUGCACACAGAGGGAUCCACUAUGACUUGGAACUGAGAAAAAAAAAUGGAAAUCUGAAAAUGGAUUUAUUUGUUUAUCACUUUAGAGCUGGAUGAGUAGUCGUAGCUCAGGAACCAAAGUACUACUCAUGGGCCAGGUACUAGAACCAGUGCUUCAAACUGUCAUAUACAGUCCAAAAUGUGAACACUUGAUUACUUUGAGUUACAAAUAGAGUAGAUGACAACAGUCAUAUAAAUAGCAAGUGUUAUGACAAUGGAAACAAUGCUUCAAAAAACUUCCAUAAAACUCACAAAUGAAUUACCACUCAGAAACAACAAAUUGAGGACAUUCAAGAAAGACCAGAACUUACUAAGUGUUACGCGCUUUGCAUGGAUUGCACAUAGCAUUGCAUCCUCAAACAACUGAACCAGGUAAUCCUCUGCAGCCUAUGAGCGGAGUGAAAUAAUCCCCAGUGGUUAUCCACUAGUGUUGAUGAAUGAAGAAAAUGUAUUUUACCAUAUACACUGAUCAAAAACCAAUAAAAAAUAAAAACCACACAAAUAAUCCCCAGUGGUUAUCCACUAGUAUGUAUUUUACCAUAUACACUGAAUAGUGAAACUGAAAAUUAAAAACAAUAAAAAAUAAACUGUCUACACAUAAACCACGCAAAUUACUGCAACUACUAAGACAACCAAAACAUUGGAAAGACAAACCUAUCAAUCUAAAAUCUUUCUUACCUCCUGAAGUGCCACCAAGGCUUCAGCUGUCCAACGAGUAACAUCUAGUGUAUAAAAGUUGCUAAUUUCUUUCACCUAGAUUAUAAGUAGUAAUCAGAACCUACAAUUGGAAUGAAGAACAAAGCAAGGAGUAUACAACUUCCUUUACUGAAUAAAAUGACAGUCACAGACAGUAAAAGAAAGAUAGAAAGUGCAGGGGAUACAUGUUGAAAAGCAAAGAAGAAAUUGCUCUAAGGUUUCGUUUAGUUCUUAAGUUUCGCCUUUAUGUCUUAGAAAUCUGAAAUCCUGGAAAUGAUAUUCCAGGAAUUCCAGAUCCAGUCUGAAAUAGUUUUUCUUAUGAUGUUGGUUUCACCAGAAAACUGACAAGAUAUCUGGGAAAAAAAAUUAUGUGCACAUUAAGAAUGAAUAAGUUAUCUCUAAUGUUAUCCUACUUACUUGUCACCCCAAAACUAAUUAUCUCACCUCCAUACGAUCCAAUAGAAGUUAAACAAAAUCUAAAGUUGCAUUAGAUUAUCCCCCGUACAAACUUAGCCACACAAGGGAAAAUACAAAAUGAGUAAUUCAAUCACAUCUAAUGCUGUCUAAUAUUAUGAACCAAAAUGCGUCAUGACCAUAACAUCUGGAUCAUUUGAAAUGCAAGACAGCCCAAAAAGCUACAAGGAAUUCUAUACUAUCUCUAGCACUUGAAAUUCAUUGUUUUAAAAAAAUAUACUUAGCAUAUCAUAGCUGUAACUGGAAUUUGCAAGGUAUUGGAAAUGUAAACUCUUUCUUUGCCAGUUUAUUUCUAAUUCCUAACUCAAUCACGGAUUCAAAAUGAUCAAGCCGUCAAAUUCACAAUCUCCAAACCAACAAAAAUAAUUAUAGUCAUAACAAUAAUAAUAACCCCAUAACAGUGAUAACAACAAACUAACAAAGUUAAACAUACAGCCUUCUUACACGCCCAUGGCAAAUCAUGACCAAGAUGCAAAUCAUGCAAAUACAUAUGCAUAUAAUGGAUAGGGCGUGUAUGGAAAAAUAAGAAGAGAGACUAAAUCUGGACCGACUGUAUCUGCAUGCAUACUUGGAAUCCUGGUUGAAAGACAUCUAUAGCCAGGAGGAGCAAACUCAAAGCAAUUAUAUGACAUCAUCAGACCUUAUUCAAGAAAACUAAUUUGCUCUACUUAGCACUCAUAUUUUUACUUUGUAGUCAUAUUUGCACACAAAUAUCUACUAACACAUGACAAGCACAGACAUCUUCAAACAUUACUCAGUUCAUGAAGUUGUCAGUGUACACUACGAAUUGACAAUUAGUUGAAGCGUUCAUUGAUGACGUGCUUUCAAAAACAAGAGCUUAUGCUGAUUUAGUGUAGGAGAUGUACCCUACAACAUCAACAGUGAUGCCCAUGAGUUAGUUAAUCAACAUUCACUAUUCUAAUUUUCUAGCAGAAAACAAGUUUACUGAAGCAAUUAAUCAAAAAACAGAGUCAUAACCCGACAACAAUACAACUGACAACGUCAAGAUCAUGACCUACAGAAAUUCAACUACAUAUACAGACAAGACUGCUGUAGAAUGACAUUGCAGAAUCCAAUUAUCUCUUACAAAAUUUGGGCAAGAUAUAUUCAAAGCUCCGUUACAACAGUUAAAGCCUCAAACAUCAGAACUAUGAGGAUGCAAGUACCCGUAUUUGUAGAGCAGCUCAAAGUUCACAUGUGUUAAGACAUGAAAGGACAAACUUUACUUAGCUGUCAAUGCUUUCGGGAAGUGGGUUCUAGGUCGACUUUCAGCCUAAUAUCCCCAAACUAUAUGUUUCAUAUGAAACUAUUACAAGAUUUCGAAAAUAUAAAACACCUAAUAUAACAUUAAUUAAAAAAUCUAGUACAGAUCUUUAAGUAUGCAUAUAAACAGGUUGCCCCACUCAUCGGCACACUCACAAGCAUGAAUCCUGGACAAGCCUAUAGAGAAAAACAGAAACAAAGCGGAAAAUUACAAGUCUAAUGAAAGGAGCAGCAGGAAUGAGGAGUUUCCAAGUCCUCUGGAAAUGCCGAAUUUCCCUAAGAGCCACCGUCCCUGGCCUGUGCCGAUAUUUCUUUUUCUGCCUUCCCGCCUGUCUCGGACCUUUAAUCGAACACAUAAGAAACCAAAAUCAACAUUUCCCCCAAAACCAGCCCUCACCUAUAAUUCUCUGAAGAUAUACUGAGUUCACAUUUCCACUAAAAAAGGGGAAAGAAAAUUUCACAGAAGAAAAAUUUAACAACUUUCUAGAUUUCGCUCACUUGUUUUUGCUGCUGGGCUCCUCGGACUUCUCCUCGUAGGCGUCUGUUAACUCCAAAAAUAUAUAUACAUAUACAUAAAACAAAUUAGUCAAACGGCGUAGUAAUGCGUCUAAAAAAUGGAGAGAGGGAGGGAAGUGAAAAGGAGUACCGCAGCAGCGGAAGAAGUGGCGGUUCCGGCAGUGGCGACGCCUGAAAAUUGACAGGGGAAAAAAUAAAAUUAGGGUUUAAACAAAAAAAAGAAAAGAAAAGAAAAGAAGAAUCAAUUACUGAAAAUUCAGAAAAAGAACGAAGAGAUGGGAAGAAAGGAAUAACCGGUGGGUUUAGUAUGAUUUCGGGUUCGUGAAGCCGGGUGUUUGGUUCUCGCCAUCAAUUUUACUUUUUUUUUUUUUUGGUUUCUUCUUGUUUUGAAGUAGUACUAGUAGAAUAAGGAGGUGGAGGGAAAUUGAUGAAAGUUGAAUCGAGUUGUGAGUUGCAACGGUAGGAUAAUCUUGGGUUUCCCGCUCGAUUUCAGUUUCGAUUUUGGUGCUGUAGUUGUUUCGGUUUGGGUUUGGGUAAAACCCGUAUCGUCUCUGAUGGUGAUGGGUUUCCCGGCCUUUUGUAAUCCCGUUUGGCAAGUAAGUUUUUUGAGUGUUUGUUUAAAAUUUUACUGUAAUUUAUUGUAGAAGUUUUUAAAAAAAUUGUUGAAGUGUAUUUUUUUUGAAUAUUUUGAAGUGUAGAGUUUAAAAAUUUUGAGAAAUUUUUUGAGAUUAUUGUAGCUAAAGUUUUUAAAAAACUUGUAGCAGAUAAACUUGACAAAAAACUUGUCUGCCAAUACACUAAUACGUGGCUUAAAAGUUCAUUACUACUACAAUUACGUGUUUAGAUGCUGCUACUACUAUACUUGUUAAGCUAUAAUGACAUUUGUGUCAUGGAUCCUACUAGGAUUUGUUUGAUGAUCUCAGAAGGGCUUUGAUGAUUAAGUUUUAGGCAAAGAUUACUGCAACUGGUUAAUUUGAAAUUGAUUUUGCCCCCCUCCCACCUAAGGAACAGCUUCAUAAUCAAUUGCUUUUUGGCACUGUUUUAUUCAUAAGUAACCAAAGGUAGUACUCCUCAUAGAUGGUUCUUAAGCCUUGCAUGUUUGAUCAUAUUUUCUCAUCUUCAAUUUAUGCAUAGUUAGAUUGAUAAUAGUGUAUUGUGUCUGCGAAUCUCACAAGGCAUAAGGUGAAAAAUAGAUUAUAGGAGUCUUUUGAUUCUCCUUGUAGGGCUGCUGUCCCGGCGAGUCGAGUCAUUCGCAAUUAACUUGCCAGCAGCUUUGUCAAAUGCUCAACUUGAACUUGAUCGGUAGCUCGAUGCAUAUAACAAGUCAAGUUCGAACCUUCAUUUGUGCAAUUCGAGUGCUCGUCGAGUAGCUUGAUUAUUAGUAUAUUAUUUAUCUUAUAUUCUAUUUUAAUUAUGAAAUGACUAAUAAAGAUUUAUGUUUUAGGUAAUUUACCAUAAAUGUUGUCUACUCAAUAAAAUUUAUAAAUGGCAAAAAAUGUGAUAUUGUAAUAACUGAAAAAGAAAUGAGAAUUUUAGAUAGCUUACCAUAAAUUUUUGAGCUUAUUUUUUUCGAGUUUUAUUUUGCGCCCUAGAACUUGUUAAAGUUUGAGACUAGUCUCAAGCUUCAAGUAGCCGAGCUCAAGCUUGGAAAUGCAUUUUGUUGAGUUGAGUCGAGUUAUAUAAUUUUUUGUCCGCUCGAGUUCAAACAGCCUCAUAUAGCAUCGAGUUCGAACUCUAGCAUAGCAGUACGCGAACUCAACUCGACUCAUUAACACCCUUACUCCCAUGUAGUCUAAAAUUGUGAAAACAUGCAACAAAAUAAGAAACAUGAGAACAAAAGAAAUCUCCCCUUUCAGACUGAGCUGGGCUCUUUCAUGACAUAAAUUUCUCGCAAUUGAAAUCCAUCUAAUCCUCUGCUUUCAUGUUUCUGCAUAUAACACCUCAAGAUUCAGAAAAGAAAAAGUUUUAUUAGAUCACAUCUUCAGAGAGAGACCACGCAUUGAACAUUGCGGAUUCAUGCACAGAGCCAUUUUUUGCCUGCAGAUGCGAUGGCCUGCUUGCAGCUGUCAGUCUAUGUAUUGCUUGACAAUUACACAAUCCCAAACAGUCCACCGGACCCGGCAGGUUUUGAUGAAUUGUGCACAUAGUAAGAUGCCCGAAUCAGGCAUAUUUCAAAGACGCAAUUAGGAAUCCCUUGUUUAACACCAGACACUUCUAAGUUGUGGACUGUAAGAGCAUGGAUACGAAGGAAAUGUAACGAUACUAGCAUUCAAGCAUCAUCAACUUUCUUCAUUCACCCUUUGCUUACUGUCCGUUUCUCAUGAGUUUAAGAUGGUGAAAUCAAGCACAUCAGUAAACCCAAAUAGAUCUAAACCUAACCACACAACAUAUAAGAUGUUACUCCAAACCAGAGAUGCCGCAACUAACUUAAGUAUCGUCAACUGAUGGAAAUCGUGUCCCUGGAUCUUUCACUUAGGUAAUCACAAGUUCAAAAAUUUUCAGCGAGCAGCACAUAUUGAAGAAUUCAUGAAGUAGCUCUGCCAUGUCCCGACUCAAACCUGCAUUUUAAGUGCCUGAAGCUUAAAAAUUUGCACUUCAAACUUUAUGGUUGUGCAGGCAUAGGAGAUGCUGGAGGCUUCAGAUCCGGAUACUGCAAUUGGAUGAAAAAAAUGGCAGAAAAAAGAGGCAUUAAUGAACUUCAUCAAAUUGUUUGCAGAUCAACUUGGACGGUAAAAAACAAAAAGAUUCGUUCCUAGGAGGGGAACAGCAGGGAUAACUGAAGAUAUUUGGUUUCCCUCCAUUGCUAUAACCUUUAAACUGAAACCGUCCGACACAUAUUUUCUUUACCCAUUGACUUUAUCAAGUACCAAAAUUUGCUGCCAAGUGUUGGCUUGAGGGAGGAACAUCCUUUUGUGCUAUCAGAUGGCCAGAAGAUAAUGACCAGUUGGUUACAGGAAGAUGUGCCUGCUGAGGGGCUUGCUUUGUUGCAUAAACAUAAAUAUCAUUAGACAACCGCAAAGAACUUACAUUAGGGUAAGGAGAAAGAGGUCUUGAAAUUCCAGGCAGUGAAUCUGUUUCAACUUCUGCUUUAGGAACUGAAUUGAUUUCUGCUGUUGGCUCUGCGACUGCUUCUACUUUAGAUGGCGCAUCACUCAC